AUUUUUUUUUUUUCUCUUGUUGGAUAUUUCGUGGAAUGAAAGGAAUCAAGGGUAUCUUGUUCGAUUCAUCCGAGAGAGAUUUUUUUUUUUUUGAAAAAAAAAAUUGUACAAAAAAGCAUUUGGAUUUGAUUUGAAAAAAAAAGAGAAGGAUUGAGAGAAAGAGAGAAAUUAUAUGCAGAGAAUAUCCUCCUUCAAUUUCUUCUUACUUCUCUCAUUAGCUUAUAUAUAUAUUUUUCCCCUUCUAAGUUAAAUUCUUGUAUUAAUCAAUCAUGGCUAUAAAUUUGUAGAAUAAUCUCCUUGAUCUAAACUUUAAUGAGAUCUCGAUUCGAAUUCGGUUUGCGAAUCGAUUUAGUGUGGAAGGGAUCAUGCCUAAGAAGCACAAGCCUAAGCGCCUUUAUCAAGUUUGGAAAGGGAACAAUGUGAGUUUUUCUUUUUUCUUUUUUUUCCCUUCUCUAUUAAUUUCAUUGUGAAAUUCUUACUUAUUGGGAAAUUAAUUUUGUUAUUCGGCUUGAAAAUUAUGUAAAUUUUUUCUUAUUUUUUGAUUCAUAUCUAUAUGUUCUCUAUUGGCAUCCUUAUUUAUGUGAUUUUAUUCCGUGUGCCUCCGUAUACUGUUGUUUGGCUAAGUUUUAGGAUAUAUCACUUUUUUUUUGUGAUUAAGUUUCUUAUCGUGAUCAAUGGUUUAAAUGAUGCAAUCACAGCGACAAAAGAUGAAUAGUUAGUAAUAUGUAGAAGUUCGGGAUCUCAUGCACAUUAUCACAAUCACAAUUCAGGAUUAUCCGGCUCGCAACUGCUUUAAUACUAUAUGUAAUGACCAAGCCGAGCAACUUGCUUAAAAUGCUUCGGCUCAGUUAUUGGUACUAUAUUUCUCAGUCAUUUAUAUACUUUAAGUACAAUUAGAUAAAAAUAGUAUUACAAUUCUAGUGAUAUACAUAUUUCAAAUUGAACUAGAAUGCUUCUAGAAGUAUUAAACCCUUGAUAUUUCCACAUUGUUUUUUAAUAAUAGUGUCUCCGCAUCAAUGGUUACAACAUUAACAUCAUCUACGUCUCGUGAACUUCAUAUAAACCACAUUUUAUUAUUUUUCGAUGUUAUUUACCUAAUAAUCAAAUGGUCUCAAAUAUUAAAAUUUGUUAAUUUUGAGACCACUUGAACAAUAUAUAAAUAAUAUUGAAAAAUUAUAAAAUUUAAUAUCUAGGAAGUUCAUGAGACAUAGAUGAUGUACAAUAUUAUAAUCGUUGAUUUAGAGAUGCUACCACUGAAAAAAAAAAAUUAUGUAGAUGUAUUAAAUGGUUUUGGUACUUCUAGAAAUAUUCGAGGUCAACUCUUAUCCAGCUGUUAGUUCCAUGAACUAUAGUGGUACAUUUUGAUAUUAGAUUUAUUGUAUAUUAUAAAGCAUUACAUACAUGAAUGAAUGAACUGUUACAGGAAAGAAUAGUAUGUAUAUAAAAUAUUAUUUUGAUUACAAAGAUGAGAAAUAGUCCUACAUUGAUACCCGCAGCAUCACUAUUUAAUACUUGGAUUUUUUUUUAAUAAUUCUUGAUGCUAUUGCUUACUAUUAUAUAUGCGUAAUGAUAAUUAAAAUAAAAAAAAUGUCUUUGCUGGGAGCAAACAGAUUUAAUGAAUCUAUUCAAAUUUAGUCAGUAAAUAGCAACUAGAUUCAAUGAAUCUAUAUAUCAGUAUCAAAGUAAGCUCUGUUAAGAAUAUGAUCGCAUCUUAAUACCUUGUUUUGCUGUUCUUUCUUUAGAGGUUCUUUUGCAGUGGACGACUGAUAUUUGGUCCGGAUGUAGCCUCAUUGCUCAUAUCCACACUUCUAAUAGUUGUACCAACAAUCAUGUUUUGCUAUCAAAUAACUGCUAAAAUCCACAAUCAUGAUAAGUUGCACGACGAGGUAAAGAUCAAUGCUCAACACCCAGUGCUCCAAUUUCCAGUGCUAAUUGUAACAAUCAUUGCAUUGAUAUCGGUUAGUAGCAAGAAACUAUCAAAAAUGUACAAUUUGUAACUUAAGAUCGUAAAAUGGUACUUCUGAUCUUAAUAUAUUAUUUUACUACUAUGCAGGACUUGUAUUUUCUCUUUAUGACAUCUUCUCAAGACCCGGGAAUAGUACUGAGGAAUGCAAGGCCACCGGAAGUGGAUGAAGCAUCUGAUAUCCUGACUCCGUCGAUGGAAUGGAUUAAUGGGCAGACGCCAUGCAUGAGAGUACUAAGAGCAAAGGAUGUGAUAGUAAAUGGUUUUGCUAUAAAAGUGAAGUACUGCGACACGUGCAUGCUGUACCGCCCACCGCGUGCCUCUCACUGCUCGAUCUGCAACAAUUGUGUUCAGAAGUUCGAUCACCAUUGCCCGUGGGUCGGUCAGUGCAUUGGAUUAGUAAGUAAGAGUAUCUGAUAAAAAAAAUUUCGUGCCAAUGAUGAUUUAAUGUGUUGAUUUACAAGCAAAUUUCAAGCCAACCGCAUUAAUUACUUCUAUCUUUUUAUGUUUUUUUUGUUUGGCAAAUAUGUAGUUGAUAGACAUACAAUUUUGCCUUUUUUUUUUCUACUUGGUCUAAGCUUUUGUUUUUUUAUUUUUAUUUUUGAUGUCCAGUUUAAAUUUAUAACAACUUAUUCCUAUUUUACUUCUCCAGAGAAGCUAUAGGUAUUUCAUCUUAUUCAUAUCAACAUCAACUUUUCUCUGCAUAUACAUCUUUUUAUUCUCGACGCUGAACAUUGUUGGAGAGAAGAAUAACUAUCCUGGUUCUAUUUGGAAUGUCAUGAAAAGAGAGGUUCUGUCGCUUGUACUUAUGAUUUACACUUUUGUAACAGUUUGGUUUAUCGGUGGGCUGACCAUAUUUCACCUUUACUUAAUCGGCACAAAUCAGGUACUUCCUUCCACCAUUCGUAGGACAGUUUAUGUUUAUGAACUAGUUGGAUGCAAUUCACAUGGCAAUUAAUCUAACUACGAUCGAGGAUAAUGAACUUGUUGGAUAGUAAUCUAAAUUUUAUAAGCUAAAAGAAAAACUAUCUCGACAAUUGGUCCAUUUCAAUCAACCAUUUACUCCUUGUUUCAUUCAGCUUUUGUUAGUAUCACAAUCUAUGUAGAAAAUUGACAAACUGUUCAUAUAGUUUUUACUGUUGAAACUGUGGCCUACUGUCUAUAAAUUAACUCUGUUCUUCAUAUUAAAGAGCGAUUUUUGAUAAGAAAAAUUAGAUACUUUUGAUGAAUUUACAUAGAGUGUUAUAUUAAUCGUACGUCAAUAUUGAUUGCCGCUAAUGUACUAUAAUCUUUUUUGUUUAAAAAGUAAUAUAUUCUAAUUUCUAUUGUUUAAUUGACGCCACUUCUACACAGACAACCUAUGAAAACUUCCGAUAUCGUUACAACAGAAAGGAAAAUCCGUAUAGCAAGGGUAUCUUAAGAAGCUUUACGGACUUAUUUUUUUCAAAAACCCCACCUUCGAUGGUUAACUUUCGGUCCCGGAUCCCCGAGGACGCGCCGGAAACUCGAUCUUAUUCUCCAAAUGAAAAUGACAGCAAGGAAGCAUCAAAUGAACGCAUUCCAGGCAUACUGCAGAACCUGGAAUACAGUUCUACUAAAGAUAAUAACAAUGAUUCUGAUGAUGAAGAGACAAGAGAGGUUGAUCAUGUUUCUAUAGAAGUAGGUGAAGCUAUAAAUAGAAGUGCUUCUAUGGAUGCAGAUAGAAUGACUGCUUAUGAAAGUGCUCUUGAGGAAAGUUACUCGAGCUCAACCUUGAUCAUCUCUGAUCAUAAUCUUCACAUAUCAAGGACAUGAGGUGAUAAAUUUUACCUUGUUAAUUAGCUUCCUUAUUUAUACUUUUCUGUAUAUUGCCCUUUUUUUGGGGCUAUUUUUUUCCUCUCGAGUUUAGUAAGUAGAAUAAUGUUGUUGAAUUGAAUUGUUCUUUUUUUUUCCCCUCCUUUUUGUAUAUAUAUAUAUAUAUAGAGAGAGAGAGAGAGAAAAAAAAGUACGUAAUGCUGACAGGCGGGUUCCACGCGUAUAAGGCAAGAAAAACUUGCCACGUGGACUCCUCAUAUCGGGAUUAAUAAAAGUACCACAACAUUUGACACACGUGAAAAGUAGAUAAACCAUGUGAUUCAAAGGUCAGUUUUGAUUAAAGGUUAGAUGCAAUGCCCAGUAAUCUUGUUAGUACCCUCCAAUUGAAGCUAGCAUGACAAAAACUGUUGUGUCAGUAUAGAUUAAAUAUCGAACAUGACAGGCCUGCAAAGCCAAGUUAAAGAUAGCCCACGAAAACUCAACACUUGUUUUGAGUAUCAUGGGCAUGGCAUUUUUCAUUUCCUUGAUAUAACACUACUGAGUACUUGCUAAAUGUGCACAUGCACGGACACAAGAUCUUAAAAAAGAUAUCUAUGAGAACAUUAGGAUGCUUAAGAAGAAUCUGAUGAUGGGUUAGCAUCUACAUUAAAAUAAAAAGCAGUGUAAAUCCUGCGCCAUUACAACGGUAACAGCACGAAUAAGUACUCAGUCAUCGAAAUGAAGCUUCGAGAUCACAGAAGAUAGAAAAAUGAAGCAAAUUAAAAAAGAAAAAAAGAAAAAGAAAAAAGAGGGAUCACAGAGAAUGCAUGACAAGAUGACGUAAAUUCUGUAGAGAUAGCUUCGGCUUAGACAUGUUUUUACUAUGUGAAAAAAAAAAAAAAUUAUGCAUGCUAAAUUUGAUACAGGAGAUUUCAUUUAUCUAAGUGGUUAAUCACAAUAAUGAAACCAUUGGGACUGAAGCAUCAAUAUUUAGAUUGAAAUUGUGAACAAGAGAGAUCAAACAGAAGAACAAAAUCCUCAUGAGCAGGAAGAAAUAACCUUAUCAGAACUUUGGUGCAUUUUUUAAGUUAUCACCCUCAGCACCUUUCAAGAAAGUUGUUGAAACAAUACUAUUUUAGGAGAUCGAACAAAAUCUGCUCAAAAAUAUUAUCCACCUUGCUUCUGGGGAAAUCUGCACAAAAAUAUUAUCCCAUGAACAAAGUACUAUCCAGAACAAAUGUCCACCAAUGAACAAAGUACUAUCCAGAUGACUCAAAAUUCUUACAUUUCUUCACGCCUACUCCGUAAGGUUUCAAAUUUACAGUUCAUACUAAAAAAUUCUCACAUUUCUUCACAUUUCUUCACAAAAGUAAAAAAAAAAAAAAAUCUUACAAUUUCUAAAGAAGAGACACAGACAAUUGAAAAUCCUUCUGAAACUGAAGUACCCCUACACCUUGUCCUAUCCACCAAUUUAUCCACCAAUCACAUCUGUAAAAAACCAUUAAAGAUCUAUCAGGCAAUCAUAAAUAAAAACAAAAUGAAGUAACAAACAGAAAAAAAAAUACAUGGUUCAACCUCCACAUUUUUAUGAAGGCACAAAAUCCAGGAUCCUAUCAUCAGAAUAAAUGUCCCAACACCAACACCGACUAGGAAUACUACCCAGUCAUACUGUCCCAAGUCUUCCUUCCAAACUUCUACUGGAUCUGUAAUAGUCACUUGAAAAAAAGAUGCAACGGCAUACAACAGGAGAGAGUAAAAAUGGUUGCGUUUUACUGCAUUUGAAUCCACCGGGUCACCGUCGUUAAAGCAGGUGCGUACUAAACCAGCGGUGACGAUUGCCGAGCACACGUGUGCCAUCAAAUUACCAAAAUAGCGUCCUUUUUCAGAGACCCCCAACAAAGAAAAAGGAAGUACUAAAGAAAUAUGAAUUGUUGAAACGACGGAAGUAACAAUGCACAACAGUAAGAGAUGGUUCUUGGAGUCGGAGUGUGUGGCGCGAGCAUGCUAAAACUCCAUUAAAGAAGCUAUAACAAAAGGGAGAAGAUUCAAUAUUCAAGCAGUAAUAUCCCAAAAACCAAGAACUACAUCCGUGCACACAACAGACCAGGUAAAAAAGUUUCGCAAAUAGAUUGAAAACCAAGCAUCCCUAUUUAAGAACAGCAAACAUCAGCAAUAGCAACAGCACAAGUAAAUCCAUAGCAAUAUAAAGUAAAAAUAAGAAAUCAAUAAUAACAAUCAAUCUCACCAUUUCAACUUCAGGGAUAUCGAAAUAACAUCACAUUUGAUUUUCAAGUUAGAUUUGUGCCAACUAAUUAUCUUAUUCUGUUCUAUCACUACUUCCGCACAAGUAAACCAUAGCAAUAUAAAGCAAAAAUAAGAAAUCUAUAAGGAUUAACAAUCAAUCUCACCAUUCCAACUCCAGAGAUAUCGAAAUAACAUCACAUUUGAUUUUCAAGUUAGAUUUGAGCCAACCAAUUAUCUUAUUAUUUUCUAUCACUACUUCCACACAAGUUAAACCAUAGCAAUAUAAAGCACAAAUAAGAAAUCUAUAAGCAUUAACAAGCAAUCUCACCAUUCCAACUCCAGGGAUUUCGAAAUACCAUCACAUUUGAUUUUCACGUUAGAUUUGAGCCAACCAAUUAUCUUAUUCUUUUCUAUCACUACUUCCGCACAAGUAAAACCAUAGCAAUAUAAAGCACAAAUAAGAAAUCUUAAGCAUAAGAUCAAUCUCACCAUUCCAACUCCCAGGGAUAUUCGAAUAAAUAUACAUUUGAUUUUCAAGUUAGAUUUGAGCCAACCAUUAUCUUAUUCUUUUCUAUCACUACUGCCGCACAAGUAACCAUAGCAAUAUAAAGCAAAAUAAGAAUUAUAAGGAUUAACAAUCAAUCUCACCUAUUCCAACUCCAGCGAUAUCGAAAUACAUCACUUUGAUUUUCAGUUAGAUUUGAGCACACCAAUUAUCUUAUUCUUUUCUAUCACUGCUUUCGCACAGUAAAACCAUAGCAAUAUAAAGCAAAAAUAGAGAAAUCUAUAAGGAUUAACAAUCAAUCUUACCAUUCACCUCCAGGGAUAUCGAAAUAACAUCACAUUGCAUCAAUAGAAGAUGAAGAACAAAGCGUGCAAGAAGAUGAAGUUCUAUAUUGUAACGUACAUUGACAUAAAAGAUCAAAUCAGACCCAUAUAGGAAGAUGAAGAAGAUGAAUUAGAAAAAGAUGAAGAACCUACCCAUAAAAUGUCUGAGGAUUAGCCCAACGCGUUCGACUCCUCUCAAAGAACUUGCGGCAAUGUCGUGCGAAUUAGGGUUUUAGAGGGAGCAAUGUCGUGCGAAUUAGGUUUCGACUCCUCAUAUUUCUUCACAAAAGUAAAAAAAAAAAAAUCUUACAAUUUCUUAAGAAGAGCCACAGACAACUGAAAAUCCUUUUGAAACUGAAGUACCCUUACACCUUGUCCUAUCCACUAAUUUAUCCACCAAUCACAUAUGUAAAAAACCAUUAAAGAUCUAUCAGACAAUCACAAAUAAAAACAAAAUGAAGUAACAAACAGAAAAAUAAAAACCUGGAUCAACCUCCACAUUUUUAUAAAGGCACAAAAUCCAGGAUCCUAUCAUCAGAAUAAAUGUCCCAACACCAACACUUACUAGGAAUACUACCCAGUCAUACUGUCCCAAGUCUUCCUUCCAAACUUCUACCGGGUCUGUAAUGGCCACUUUAAAAAAAGAUGCAACGGCAUACAAUAGGAGAGAGUAAAAAUGGUUGCGUUUUACUUCAUUUGAAUCCACCGGGUCACUGUCGUUAAAGCAGGUGCAUAACGGUGACGAUUGCCGAGCACACGUGUGCCAUCAACUCACCAAAAUAGCGUCCUUUGUCAGAGACCCCCAACAAAAAAAAGGAAGUACUAUGGAAAUAUGAAUGGUUGAAACGACGGAAGUAACAAUGCACAACAGUAAGAGAUGGAUCUUGGAGUCGGAGUGUGUGGCGGGAGCAUGCUGAAACUCCAUUACAGAAGCUUUAACAAAAGGGAGAAGAUUCAAUAUUCAAGCAGUAAUAUCCCAAAAACCAAGAACUACAUCCGUGCACACAACAGACCAGAUAAAAAAGUUUCGCAAACAGAUUGGAAACCAAGCAUCCCCAAUUAAGAACAGCAAACAUCAGCAAUAGCAACAGCACAAAUAAAACCAUAGCAAUAUGAAGUAAAAAUAAGAAAUCUAUAAGGAUUGUCACCAUUCCAACUUCAGGGAUAUCGAAAUAACGUCACAUUUGAUUUUUAGGCAAGAUUUGAGCAAACCAAUUAUCUUAUUCUUUUCUAUCACUACUUCCGCACAAGUAAAACUAUAGCAAUAUAAAGCAAAAAUAAGAAAUUUAUAAGAAUUAACAAUCAAUCUCACCAUCCUAACUCCAGAGAUAUCGAAAUAGCAUCACAUUUGAUUUUCAAGUUAGAUUUGAGCCAACCAAUUAUCUUAUUAUUUUCUAUCACUACUUCCGCACAAGUAAAACCAUAGCAAUAUAAAGCACAAAUAAGAAAUCUAUAAGGAUUAACAAUCAAUCUCACCAUUCCAACUCCAGGGAUAUCGAAAUAACAUCACAUUUGAUUUUCAUUUUAGAUUUGAGUCAACCAAUUAUCUUAUUCUUUUCUAUCACUACUUCCGCACAAGUAAAACCAUAGCAAUAUAAAGCAAAAAUAAGAAAUCUAUAAGGAUUAACAAUCAAUCUCACCAUUCCAACUCCAGGGAUAUGGAAAUAACAUCUCAUUUGAUUUUUACGUUAGAUUUGAGCCAACCAAUUAUCUUAUUCUUUUCUAUCACUGCUUCCGCAUAAGAAAACCAUAGCAAUAUAAAGCAAAAAUAAGAAAUCUAUAAGGAUUAACAAUCAAUCUAACCAUUCAAACUCCAGGGAUAUCGAAAUAACAUCACAUUGCAUCAAUAGAAGAUGAAGAACAAAGCGUGCAAGAAGAUGAAGUUCUAUAUUGUAACGUACAUUGACAUAAAAGAUCAAAUCAGACCCAUAUAGGAAGAUGAAGAAGAUGAAUUAGAAGAAGAAGAAGAACCUACCCAUAAAAUGUCUGAGGAUUGGCCCAACGCGUUCGACUCCUCUCCAAGAACUUGCGGCAAUGUCAUGCGAAUUAGGGUUUUAGAGGGAGCAAUGUCGUGCGAAUUACGUUUUCGACUCCUCAUAUUUCUUCACAUUUCUUCACAAAAGUAAAAAAAAAAAAAUCUUACAAUUUCUUAAGAAGAGCCACAGACAAUUGAAAAUCCUUCUGAAACUGAAGUACCCCUACACCUUGUCCUAUCCACCAAUUUAUCCACCAAUCACAUAUGUAAAAAACCAUUAAAGAUCUAUCAGGUAAUCAUAAAUAAAAACAAAAUGAAGUAACAAACAGAAAAAUAAAUACCUGGAUCAACCUCCACAUUUUAAUAAAGGCACAAAAUCCAGGAUCCUAUCAUCAGAAUAAAUGUCCCAACACCAACACCGACUAGGAAUACUACCCAGUCAUACUGUCCCAAGUCUUCCUUCCAAACUUCUACUGGGUCUGUAAUAGUCACUUGAAAAAAAGAUGCAACGGCAUACAACAGGAGAGAGUAAAAAUGGUUGCGUUUUACUGCAUUUGAAUCCACCGGGUCACCGUCGUUAAAGCAGGUGCGUACUAAACCAGCGGUGACGUUUGCCGAGCACACGUGUGCCAUCAACUCACCAAAAUAGAGUCCGUUGUCAGAGACCCCGAGCAAAAAAAAGGAAGUACUAUGGAAAUAUGAAUGGUUGAAACGACGGAAGUAACAAUGCACAACAGUAAGAGAUGGAUCUUGGAGUCGGAGUGUGUGGCGGGAGCAUGCUGAAACUCCAUUACAGAAACUUUAACAAAAGGGAGAAGAUUCAAUAUUCAAACAGUAAUAUCCCAAAAACCAAGAACUAGAUCCGUGCACACAACAGACCAGGUAAAAAAGUUUCGCAAACAGAUUGAAAACCAAGCAUCCCCAAUUAAGAACAGCAGACAUCAGCAAUAGCAACAGCACAAGUAAAACCAUAGCAAUAUAAAGCAAAAAUAAGAAAUCUAUAAGGAUUGUCACCAUUCCAACUUCAGGGAUAUCGAAAUAACGUCACAUUUGGUUUUUAGGUUAGAUUUGAGACAACCAAUUAUCUUAUUCUUUUCUAUCACUACUUCCGCACAAGUAAAACCAUAGCAAUAUAAAGCAAAAAUAAGAAAUCUAUAAGGAUUGUCACCAUUCCAACUUCAGGGAUAUCGAAAUAACGUCACAUUUGGUUUUUAGGUUAGAUUUGAGACAACCAAUUAUCUUAUUCUUUUCUAUCAUUACUUCCGCACAAGUAAAACCAUAGGAAUAUAAAGCACAAAUAAAAAUCUAAAAGGAUUAAAAAUCAAUCUCACCAUUCCAACUCCAGGGAUAUCGAAAUAACAUCAUAUUUGAUUUUCAGGUUAGAUUUGAGCCAACCAAUUAUCUUAUUCUUUUCUAUCACUACUUCCGCACAAGUAAAACCAUAGGAAUAUAAAGCACAAAUAAAAAUCUAAAAGGAUUAAAAAUCAAUCUCACCAUUCCAACUCCAGGGAUAUCGAAAUAACAUCAUAUUUGAUUUUCAGGUUAGAUUUGAGCCAACCAAUUAUCUUAUUCUUUUCUAUCACUACUUCCGCACAAGUAAAACCAUAGGAAUAUAAAGCACAAAUAAAAAUCUAAAAGGAUUAAAAAUCAAUCUCACCAUUCCAACUCCAGGGAUAUCGAAAUAACAUCAUAUUUGAUUUUCAGGUUAGAUUUGAGCCAACCAAUUAUCUUAUUCUUUUCUAUCACUACUUCCGCACAAGUAAAACCAUAGCAAUAUAAAGCAAAAAUAAAAAAUUUAUAAGAAUUAACAAUCAAUCUCACCAUCCCAACUCCAAAGAUAUCGAAAUAGCAUCACAUUUGAUUUUCAAGUUAGAUUUGAGCCAACCAAUUAUCUUAUUAUUUUCUAUCACUACUUCCGCACAAGUAAAACAAUAGCAAUAUAAAGCACAAAUAAGAAAUCUAUAAGCAUUAAGAAUCAAUCUCACCAUUCCAACUCCAGGGAUAUCGAAAUACCAUCACAUUUGAUUUUCAAGUAAGAUUUGAGGCAACCAAUUAUCUUAUUACUUUCUAGCACUACUUCCGCACAAGUAAAACUAUAGCAAUAUAAAGCACAAAUAAGAAAUCUAUAAGCAUUAAGAAUCAAUCUCACCAUUCCAACUCCAGGGAUAUCGAAAUAACAUCACAUUUGAUUUUAAGGUUAGAUUUGAGCCAACCAAUUAUCUUAUUCUUUUCUAUCACUACUUCCGCACAAGUAAAACCAUAGCAAUAUACAGCACAAAUAAAAAUCUAUUAGGAUUAACAAUCAAUCUCACCAUUCCAACUCCAGGGAUAUCGAAAUAACAUCACAUUUGAUUUUCAGGUUAGAUUUGAGCCAACUAUUUAUCUUAUUCUUUUCUAUCACUACUUCUGCACAAGUAAAACCAUAGCAAUAUAAAGCAAAAAUAAAAAAUUUAUAAGGAUUAAUAAUCAAUCUCACCAUUCCAACUUCAGGGAUAUCGAAAUAACAUCACAUUUGAUUUUCAGGUUAGAUUUGAGCCAACUAUUUAUCUUAUUCUUUUCUAUCACUACUUCUGCACAAGUAAAACCAUAGCAAUACAUCAGCAAUAGCAACAGCACAAGUAAAACCAUAGCAAUAUAAAGCAAAAAUAAGAAAUCUAUAAGGAUUAACAAUCAAUCUCACCAUUCCAACAUCAGGGAUAUCGAAAUAACAUCACAUUUGAUUUUCAGGUAAGAUUUGAGCCCACCAAUUAUCUUAUUCUUUUCUAUCACUAUUUCCGCACAAGUAAAAUCAUAGCAAUCUAAAGCAAAAAUAAGAAAUCUAUAAGGAUUAACAAUCAAUCUCACCAUUCCAACUCCAGGGAUAUCGAAAUAACAUCACAUUUGAUUUUCAUGUUAGAUUUGAGCCAACCAAUUAUCUUAUUAUUUUCUAUCACUACUUCCGUAUAAGUAAAACCAUAACAAUAUAAAGAAAAAAUAAGAAAUCUAUAAGGAUUAACAAUCAAUCUAACCAUUCAAACUCCAGGGAUAUCGAAAUAACAUCACAUUACAUCAAUAGAAGAUGAAUAACAAAGCGUGCAAGAAGAUAAAGUUCUAUAUUGUAACGUACAUUGACAUAAAAGAUCAAAUCAGACCCAUAUAGGAAGAUGAAGAAGACGAAUUAGAAGAAGAAGAAGAACCUACCCAUAAAAUGUCUGAGGAUUGGCCCAACGCGUUCGACUCCUCUCCAAGAACUUGCGGCAAUGUCAUGCGAAUUAGGGUUUUAGAAGGAGCAAUGUCGUGCGAAUUACGCUUUCGACUCCUCAUAUUUCUUCACAUUUCUUCACAAAAGUAAAAAAAAAAAAAUCUUACAAUUUCUUAAGAAGAGCCACAGACAACUGAAAAUCCUUCUAAAACUGAAGUACCCCUACACCUUGUCCUAUCCACCAAUUUAUCCACCAAUCACAUAUGUAAAAAACCAUUAAAGAUCUAUCAGGCAAUCAUAAAUAAAAAUAAAAUGACGUAACAAACAGAAAAAUAAAUACCUGGAUCAACCUCCACAUUUUUAUAAAGGUACAAAAUCCAGGAUCCUAUUAUCAGAAUAAAUGUCCCAACACCAACACCGAGAAGGUAUACUACCAAGUCAUACUGUCCCAAGUCUUCCUUCCAAACUUCUACCGGAUCUGUAAUAGCCACUUGAAAAAAAGAAGCAACGGCAUACAACAGGAGAGAGUAAAAAUGGUUGCGUUUUACUGCAUUUGAAUCCACCGAGUCACCGUCGUUAAAGUAGGUGCGCACUAAACCAGCGGUGACGAUUGCCGAGCACACGUGUGCCAUCAACUCACCAAAAUAGCGUCCUUUCUCAGAAACCCCCAACAAAAAAAAGAAAGUACUAUGAAAAUAUGAAUGGUUGAAACGACGGAAGUAACAAUGCACAACAGUAAGAGAUGGAUCUUGGAGUCGGAGUGUGUGGCGGGAGCAUGCUGAAACUCAAUUACAGAAGCUUUAACAAAAAGGAGAAGAUUCAAUAUUCAAACAGUAAUAUCCGAAAAAGCAAGAACUACAUCCGUGCACACAACAGACCAGGUAAAAAAGUUUCGUAAACAGAUUGAAAACCAAGUAUCCCCAAUUAAGAACAGCAAACAUCAGCAAGUAAAACCAUAGCAAUAUAAAGCAAAAAUAAGAAAUCUAUAAGGAUUGUCACCAUUCAAACUUCAGGGAUAUCGAAAUAACGUCACAUUUGAUUUUUAGGAUAGAAUUGAGCCAACCAAUUAUCUUAUUCUUUUCUAUCACUACUUCCGCACAAGUAAAACCAUAGCAAUAUAAAGCUAAAAUAAGAAAUUUAUAAGAAUUAACAAUCAAUCUCACCAUCCCAACUCCAGAGAUAUCGAAAUAGCAUCACAUUUGAUUUUCAAGUUAGAUUUGAGCCAACCAAUUAUCUUAUUCUUUUCUAUCACUACUUCCGCACAAGUAAAACCAUAGCAAUAUAAAGCACAAAUAAGAAAUCUAUAAGCAUUAACAAUCAAUCUCACCAUUCUAACAACAGGAAUAUCGAAAUACCAUCACAUUGGAUUUUCAAGUUAGAUUUGAGCCAACCAAUUAUCUUAUUACUUUCUAUCACUACUUCCGCACAAGUAAAACCAUAGCAAUAUAAAGCACAAAUAAGAAAUCUAUAAGCAUUAAGAAUCAAUCUCACCAUUCCAACUCCAGGGAUAUCGAAAUACUAUCACAUUUGAUUUUCAAGUUAAAUUUGAGCCAACCAAUUAUCUUAUUCUUUUCUAUCACUACUUCCGCAUAAGUAAAACCAUAGCAAUAUAAAGCACAAAUAAAAAUCUAAAAGGAUUAAAAUUCAAUCUCACCAUUCCAACUCCAGGGAUAUCGAAAUAACAUCACAUUUGAUUUUCAGGUUAGAUUUGAGCCAACCAAUUAUCUUAUUCUUUUCUAUCACUACAUCCGCACAAGUAAAACCAUAUCAAUAUAAAGUAAAAAUAAGAAAACUAUAAGGAUUAACAAUCAAUCUCACCAUUCCAACUCCAGGGAUAUCGAAAUAACAUCAAAUUUGAUUUUUAGGUUAGAUUUGAGCCAACCAAUUAUCUUAUUAUUUUCUAUCACUGCUUCCGCAUAAGUAAAACCAUAGCAAUAUAAAGCAAAAAUAAGAAAUCUAUAAGAAUUAACAAUCAAUCUCAUCAUUCAAACUCCAGGGAUAUCGAAAUAACAUCACAUUGCAUCAAUAGAAAAUGAAGAACAAAGCGUGCAAGAAGAUGAAGUUCUAUAUUGUAACGUACAUUGACAUAAAAGAUCAAAUUAGACCCAUAUAGGAAGAUGAAGAAGAUGAAUUAGAAGAAGAUGAAGAACCUACCCAUAAAAUGUCUGAGGAUUGGCCCAACGCGUUCGACUCCUCUCCAAGAACUUGCGGCAAUGUUUUGCGAAUUAGGGUUUUAGAGGGAGCAAUGUCGUGCGAAUUACGCUUUCGACUCCUCAUAUUUCUUCACAUUUCUUUACAAAAGUAAAAAAAAAAAAAAUCUUACAAUUUCUUAAGAAGAGCCACAGACAACUGAAAAUCCUUCUGAAACUGAAGUACCCCUACACCUUGUCCUAUCCACCAAUUUAUCCACCAAUCAUAUAUGUAAAAAACCAUUAAAGAUCUAUCAGGCAAUCAUAAAUAAAAAUAAAAUGAAGUAAUAAACAGAAAAAUAAAUACCUGGAACAACCUCCACAUUUUUAUAAAGGCACAAAAUCUAGUAUCUAUCAUCAGAUUAAAUGUCCCAACACCAACACCGACUAGGAAUACUACCCAGUCAUACUGUCCCAAGUCUUCCUUCCAAACUUUUACCGGGUCUGUAAUAGCCACUUGAAAAAAAGAUGCAACGGCAUACAACAGGAGAGAGUAAAAAUGGUUGCGUUUUACUGCAUUCGAAUCCACCGGGUCACCGUCGUUAAAGCUGGUGGGUACUAAACCAGCGGUGACGAUUGCCGAGCACACGUGUGCCAUCAACUCACCAAAAUAGCGUCCUUUCUCAUAGACCCCCAACAAAAAAAAGAAAGUACUAUGAAAAUAUGAAUGGUUGAAACGAUGGAAGUAACAAUGCACAACAGUAAGAGAUGGAUCUUGGAGUCGGAGUGUGUGGCGGGAGCAUGCUGAAACUCCAUUACAGAAGCUUUAACAAAAGGGAGAAGAUUCAAUAUUCAAACAGUAAUAUCCCAAAAACCAAGAACUAUAUCCGAGCACACAACAGACCAGGUAAAAAAGUUUCGCAAACAGAUUGAAAACCAAGCAUCGCCAAUUAAGAACAGCAAACAUCAGCAAUAGCAACAGCACAAGUAAAACCAUAGCAAUAUAAAGCAAAAAUAAGAAAUCUAUAAGGAUUGUCACCAUUCCAACUUCAGGGACAUCGAAAUAACGUCACAUUUGAUUUUUAGGCUAGAUUUGAGCCAACCAAUUAUCUUAUUCUUUUCUAUCACUACUUCCGCACAAGUAAAAUCAUAGCAAUAUAAAGCAAAAAUAAGAAAUUUAUAAGAAUUAACAAUCAAUCUCACGAUCCCAACUCCAGAGAUAUCGAAAUAGCAUCACAUUUGGUUUUCAAGUUAGAUUUGAGCCAACCAAUUAUCUUAUUAUUUUCUAUCACUACUUCCGCACAAGUAAAACCAUAGCAAUAUAAAGCAGAAAUAAGAAAUCUAUAAGGAUUAACAAUCAAUCUCACCAUUCCAACUUCAGGGAUAUAGAAAUACCAUCACAUUUGAUUUUCAAGUUAGAUUUGAGCCAACCAAUUAUCUUAUUAUUUUCUAUCACUACUUCCGCACAACCAAAACCAUAGCAAUAUAAAGCACAAAUAAGAAAUUUAUAAGUAUUAAGAAUCAAUCUCACCAUUCCAAUUCCAGAGAUAUCGAAAUAUAUCACAUUUGAUUUUCAAGUUAGAUUUGAGCCAACCAAUUAUCUUAUUCUUUUCUAUCACUACUUCCGCACAAGUAAAACCAUAGCAAUAUAAAACACAAAUAAGAAAUCUAUAAGGAUUAACAAUCAAUCUCACCAUUCCAACUCCAGGGAUAUCGAAAUAACAUCACAUUUGAUUUUCAGGUUAGAUUUGAGCCAACCAAUUAUCUUAUUCCUUUCUAUCACUGCUUCUGCACAAGUAAAAUCAUAGCAAUAUAAAGCAAAAAUAAGAAAUCUAUAAGGAUUAACAAUCAAUCUCACCAUUCCAACUCUAGGGAUAUCGAAAUAACAUCAUAUUGCAUCAAUAGAAGAUGAAGAACAAAACAUGCAAGAAGAUGAAGUUCUAUAUUGCAACGUACAUUGACAUAAAAGAUGAAAUCAGACCCAUAUAGGAAGAUGAAGAAGAUGAAUUAGAAGAAGAUGAAGAACCUACCCAUAAAAUGUCUGAGGAUUGGCCCAAUGUUUUCGACUCCUCUCCAAGAACUUGCUGCAAUGUCGUGCGAAUUAGGAUUUUAGAGGGAGCAAUAUCGUGCGAAUUACGCUUUCGACUCCUCAUAUUUCUUCACAUUUCUUCACAAAAGUAAAAAAAAAAAAAAAUCUUACAAUUUUUAAGAAGAGCCACAGACAACUGAAAAUCCUUUUGAAACUGAAGUACCCCUACACCUUGUCCUAUCCACCAAUUUAUCCACCAAUCUCAUCUGUAAAAAACUAUUAAAGAUCUAUCAGGCAAUCAUAAAUAAAAACAAAAUAAAGUAACAAACAGAAAAAUAAAUACCUGGUUCAACCUCCACAUUUUUAUAGAGGCACAAAAUCCAGGAUCCUAUCAUCAGAAUAAAAGUCCCAACACCAACACCGACUAGGAAUACUACCCAGUCAUACUGUCCCAAGUCUUCCUUCCAAACUUCUACCGAGUCUGUAAUAGCCACUUGAAAAAAAGAUGCAACGACAUACAACAGGAGAGAGUAAAAAUGGUUGCGUUUUACUGCAUUUGAAUCCACCGGGUCACCGUCGUUAAAGCAGGUGCGUACUAAACCAGCGGUGACGAUUGCCGAGCACACGUGUGUCAUCAACUUACCAAAAUAGCGUCCUUUCUCAGAGACCCCCAACAAAAAAAAAGGAAGUACUAUAGAAAUAUGAAUGGUUGAAACGACGGAAGUAACAAUGCACAACAGUAAGAGAUGGAUCUUGGAGUCGGAGUGUGUGGCGGGAGCAUGUUGAAACUCCAUUAAAGAAGCUAUAACAAAAGGGAGAAGAUUCAAUAUUCAAACAGUAAUAUCCCAAAAACCAAGAACUACAUCCGUGCACACAACAGACCAGGUAAAAAAGUUUCGCAAAUAGAUUGAAAACCAAGCAUCCCUAUUUAAGAACAGCAAACAUCAGCAAUAGCAAAGCACAAGUAAAACCAUAGCAAUAUAAAGCAAAAAUAAGAAAUCUAUAAGGAUUAACAAUCAAUCUCACCAUUUCAACAUCGGGGAUAUCGAAAUAACAUCACAUUUGAUUUUCAGGUAAGAUUUGAGCCAACCAAUUAUCUUAUUCUUUUCUAUCACUACAACAGCACAAGUAAAACCAUAGCAAUAUAAAGCAAAAAUAAGAAAUCUAUAAGGAUUAACAAUCAAUCUCACCAUUUCAACAUCGGGGAUAUCGAAAUAACAUCACAUUUGAUUUUCAGGUAAGAUUUGAGCCAACCAAUUAUCUUAUUCUUUUCUAUCACUACAUCCGCACAAGUAAAACCAUAGCAAUAUAAAGCAAAAAUAAGAAAUCUAUAAGGAUUAACAAUCAAUCUCACCAUUCCAACUCCAGGGAUAUCGAAAUAACAUCACAUUUGAUUUUCAGGUUAGAUUUGAGCCAACCAAUUAUCUUAUUAUUUUCUAUCACUACUUCCGCAUAAGUAAAGCCAUAACAAUAUAAAGCAAAAAUAAGAAAUCUAUAAGGAUUAACAAUCAAUCUAACCAUUCAAACUCCAGGGAUAUCGGAAUAACAUCACAUUGCAUCAAUAGAAGAUGAAGAACAAAGCGUGUAAGAAGAUGAAGUUCUAUAUUGUAACGUACAUUGACAUAAAAGAUCAAAUCAGACCCAUAUAGGAAGAUGAAGAAGAUGAAUUAGAAGAAGAAGAAGAACCUACCCAUAAAAUGUCUGAGGAUUGGCCCAACGCGUUCGACUCCUCUCCAAGAACUUGCGGCAAUGUCGUGCGAAUUAGGGUUUUAGAGGGAGCAAUGUCGUGCGAAUUACGUUUUCGACUCCUCAUAUUUCUUCACAUUUCUUCACAAAAGUAAAAAAAAAAAAAAAUCUUACAAUUUUUAAGAAGAGCCACAGACAACUGAAAAUCCUUUUGAAACUGAAGUACCCCUACACCUUGUCCUAUCCACCAAUUUAUCCACCAAUCUCAUCUGUAAAAAACUAUUAAAGAUCUAUCAGGCAAUCAUAAAUAAAAACAAAAUAAAGUAACAAACAGAAAAAUAAAUACCUGGUUCAACCUCCACAUUUUUAUAGAGGCACAAAAUCCAGGAUCCUAUCAUCAGAAUAAAAGUCCCAACACCAACACCGACUAGGAAUACUACCCAGUCAUACUGUCCCAAGUCUUCCUUCCAAACUUCUACCGAGUCUGUAAUAGCCACUUGAAAAAAAGAUGCAACGACAUACAACAGGAGAGAGUAAAAAUGGUUGCGUUUUACUGCAUUUGAAUCCACCGGGUCACCGUCGUUAAAGCAGGUGCGUACUAAACCAGCGGUGACGAUUGCCGAGCACACGUGUGUCAUCAACUUACCAAAAUAGCGUCCUUUCUCAGAGACCCCCAACAAAAAAAAAGGAAGUACUAUAGAAAUAUGAAUGGUUGAAACGACGGAAGUAACAAUGCACAACAGUAAGAGAUGGAUCUUGGAGUCGGAGUGUGUGGCGGGAGCAUGUUGAAACUCCAUUAAAGAAGCUAUAACAAAAGGGAGAAGAUUCAAUAUUCAAACAGUAAUAUCCCAAAAACCAAGAACUAUAUCCGAGCACACAACAGACCAGGUAAAAAAGUUUCGCAAACAGAUUGAAAACCAAGCAUCCCCAUUUAAGAACAACAAACAUCAGCAAUAGCAACAGCACAAGUAAAUCCAUAGCAAUAUAAAGUAAAAAUAAGAAAUCAAUAAUAACAAUCAAUCUCACCAUUUCAACUUCAGGGAUAUCGAAAUAACAUCACAUUUGAUUUUCAAGUUAGAUUUGAGCCAACCAAUUAUCUUAUUCUUUUCUAUCACUACUUCCGCACAAGUAAACCAUAGCAAUAUAAAGCAAAAAUAAGAAAUCUAUAAGGAUUGUCACCAUUCCAACUUCAGGGACAUCGAAAUAACGUCACAUUUGAUUUUUAGGCUAGAUUUGAGCCAACCAAUUAUCUUAUUCUUUUCUAUCACUACUUCCGCACAAGUAAACCAUAGCAAUAUAAAGCAAAAAUAAGAAAUCUAUAAGGACCUAAUCAAUCUAACCAUGUCAAUACUCCAGGAGAUAUCGAAUAACAUCACAAAUUGCAUCAGAUAGUAAAGAUGAACGAACAAAGCGUGUAGAAAUAAACGUUCUAUAUUGUAUAGUCACAUUGACAUAAAAGAUUCAAAUCAGACCCAUAUAGGAAGAUGAAGAAGAUGAAUUAGAAAAGAAGAAGAUACCCUAGCCCAUAAAAAUGUCUGAGGAUUGGCCCAUACGCGUUCGACUCCUCUCCAAGAACUUGCGGGCAAUGUCGUGCGAAUGUAGGUUUCAGAGGGAGCAAUGUCGUGGCGAGAUUAACGUUUCGCCGUCCUCAUAUUUGUCAUUCACAUUUCUUCAGAAAAGUAAAAAAAGAGAAGAAAAACUUACAUUUUUAAGAAGAGCAACAUAAACCCCAAGACAAACUGAAAAUCCUUUUGAAACUGAAGUACCCUACACCUUGUCCUAUCCACCAAUUUAUGCCACCAAUCUCAUCUGUAAAAACUAUUAAAGAUCUAUCAGGCAAUCCAUAAUUAAAAACAAAAUAAGUAACAAACUGAAAAACUAAUACCUGGUCAACGCUCCACAUUUUAUAGAGGCACAAAAUCCAGGAUCCUAUCAAUCAGAAUAAAUCCAACACCAACACCGACAGGAAUACUACCCAGUCAUACUGCCAAGUCUUCUUUCAAACUUCUACGCGAUGGUCUGUAUAGCCACUUGAAAAAAAGAUAGCCACACAAUACAACAGAGAGUAGUAAAAUGGUUGCGUUUUAUGCAUUUGAAUCACCGGUCACCGUGUUAAAGCAGGUGCGUACUUAAACCGGGUGCGCGAUUGCCGAGCAACGUGUGUCAUCAACUUACAAAUGAGCGUCCUUUCUCAGAGACCGCCAACAAAAAAAAGAAGUACUAUAAGAAAUAUGAAGUGGUUGAACGACGAGAAUGUAAAAUGCACAACAGUAAAUGAGAUGGGACUUGGAGUCGGAUGUUUGGCGGGCAUGUUGAAAAACUAUUAAAGAAGCUAGUAACAAAAGGGAGAAGAUUCAAUAUAUUCAAAACAGUAAUAUCCCCAACAAACCAAAGAACUACAUCCGUGACACAAUAGACCAGGUAAAAAAGUUCCGCAAACAGAUGAAAACCCAAGCAUCCCCAAUAAAGAACAGCACAUAGCCAAUAGCAAACAGCACAAGUAAACCAUAGCAAUAUAAAGCAAAAAUAAGAAAUCUAUGAAGAAUUAACAAUCAAUCUCACCAUUUCAAACAUCGGGAUAUCGAAAUAACAUCACAUUGGAUUUUCAGGUAAAGAUUUGACCAACAAUUAUCUUAUUCUUUCUAUCACUACAUCUCGACAAGUAAAACCAUAGCAUAUAUAAAGAGGCAAAAUUAAGAAAUCUAAUAAGGAUUAAAAUCAAUCUCACCAUUCCAACUCGCAGGAUAUAAAAAUCACAUUUGAUUUUCAGGUUAGAUUGUGAGCCAACACAUUUACAGUUUAAUAUUUUCUAUCACUACUUCCGCCUUAAGUAAAGCCAUAACAAUAUAAAGCAAAAAUAAGAGAAUACUAUAAGGAUUAUACAAUCAAUCUAAACCAUUCAAACUCGAGGGCUAUAUUCGGAAUAGACAUCACAUGGGCAUCAAUAGAAGAUGAAGACAAAGCGUGUAAGAAGAUGAGUUCUAUAUUGUAACGUACUUGACAUAAAGAUCAAUCAGACCCAUAUAGGAAUGAUGACAGAAGAUGAUUUAGAAGAAGAAGAAGAACGCUACGCCAUAAAGUCUGAGGAUUGGCCCAACGCGUUCGACUCCUUCCAGAAACUUGCGCAAUGUCGUGCGAUGGGUUUGAGAGGAGCAUAAUGUCGUUGCGAAUUACGUUUUCGACUCCUGAUUUUCUUCACCAUUUCUUCACAAAAAGUAAAAAAAAAAAAAAUUUUCAAUUUCUGUAAAAGAGCCUACAGACAACUGAAAAUCCUUACUAGAACUCUGAAAUACCUCUACACCUUGACCUAUCACCAAUUUUGAUCCACCAAUCACAUAUGUAAAAAACCAAUUAAAGAAUCGUAUCAUGGCACUCAUAAUAAAAACAAAAUAAAGUUAACAAACUGAAAAAUAAAUACCUGGACAACCUCCACGAUUUUUAUAAAAGCACACAUUCAGGAUCCCUAUCAUCAGAAUAAAUGUCGAACACCAACACUCUCCGGUGUACUAGGAAUACUACCAGUCGCAUAUGUCCCAAGUUCUCCUUCCAAAUUUCUACCGGGUCUGUAAUAGCCACCUUGAAAAAAAAAUGCAACCGGUAAGCAUAUAACACGAGAGAGUAAAAAUUGUUGGUUUAACUCGCAUUGAAUCACCGGUCACCGUCAUUAAAGGAGGGUGUUUUAAACGCUAGCGGUGACGAUUUGGAGCAUUACUGUCCGCCAUCAACCACUCAAAAUGCGUCCUUUUCUCCAAAUACCCCAACAAGAACAAAGAAAGUACUAUGGAAAAUGAAUGGUUGAAGCGACGGCAAGUUAACAUUGCAAACAGUAAGAAGAAUGGAUCUUGGAGUCGGAGUGGUGGGCGGAGCAUGCUAAAAGCUCCAUUAGCAGAAGUUUUUAACAAAAGUAGAAAUUCAAUAUUCAAAAGUAAUAUCCAAAAACAAAAUACCUUCGUGCACAACAAUAGACCAGGUUAAAAAGUUCCGCAAACAAUUGAAAACCAAGCAUUCCCCAAUUAAGAACGCAAACACAGCGAAUAGCAACAGGCACAAGAAUACCAUACAGUGAUAUAAAGCAAAAAAAAUAAAGAAAUUAUAAGGAGUUAACAAUCAAUCUCACCUAUCAACUUAGGGAUGAUCGAAAUAUACGUCAUAUUUGCAUUUUUCAGUAGAUUUGAGUCCAACCAAUUAUCUUAUUCUUUUUUUUCACUACUUCGACCGACUAAGUAAAAUCAUAGCAAUAUAAGAAAAAUAAGAAUCACAAGGAUCAAUCAAUACAUGCAUUCAACCAAGAAGAUAUUUUGAAGUAACAUCACAUUUGAUUUUCAAGUUAGAUUUGAGCCAACCAAUUAUCUUAUUCUUUUCUUUCACUACUUCCGCACAAGUAAAACCAUAGCAAUAUAAAGCACAAAUAAGAAAUCUAUAAGCAUUAACAAUCAAUCUCACCAUUACAACUCCAGGGAUAUCGAAAUAACAUCACAUUUGAUUUUCAAGUUAGAUUUGAGCCAACCAAUUAUCUUAUUCUUUUCUAUCACUACUUCUGCACAAGUAAAGCUAUAGCAAUAUAAAGCAUAAAUAAGAAAUCUAUAAGUAUUAACAAUCAAUCUCACCAUUCCAACUCCAGGGAUAUCGAAAUAUCAUCACUUUUGAUUUUCAAGUUAUAUUUGAGCUAACCAAUUAUCUUAUUCUUUUCUAUCACCACUUCCGUACAAGUAAACCAUAGCAAUAUAAAGCACAAAUAAGAAAUCUAUAAGGAUUAACAAUCAAUCUCACCAUUCCAUCUCCAGAGAUAUCGAAAUAACAUCACAUUUGAUUUUCAAGUUUGAUUUGAGCCAACCAAUUAUCUUAUUUUUUUCUAUCACUACUUCCGCACAAGUAAAACCAUAGCAAUAAACCAUAGCAAUAUAAAGCAAAAAUAAGAAAUCUAUAAGGAUUAACAAUCAAUCUCACCAUUCCAACUCCAGGGAUAUCGAAAUAACAUCAAAUUUGAUUUUCAGGUUAGAUUUUGAGCGAACCAAUUAUCUUAUUCUUUUCUAUCACUACUUCCGCACAAGUAAAAUCUUAGCAAUAUAAAGCAAAAAUAAGAAAUCUAUAAGUAUUAACAAUCAAUCUCACCAUUCCAACUCCAGGGAUAUCGAAAUAAUAUCAUAUUUGAUUUUCAGAUUAGAUUUGAGCCAACCAAUUAUCUUAUUCUUUUCUAUCACUGCUUCCGCACAAGUAAAACCAUAGCAAUAUAAAGCAAAAAUAAAAAAUCUAUAAGGAUUAACAAUCAAUCUAACCAUUCAAACUCCAGGGAUAUCGGAAUAACAUCACAUUGCAUCAAUAGAAGAUGAAGAACAAAGCGUGUAAGAAGAUGAAGUUCUAUAUUGUAACGUACAUUGACAUAAAAGAUCACAUCAGACCCAUAUAGGAAGAUGAAGAAGAUGAAUUAGAAGAAGAUGAAGAACCUACCCAUAAAAUGUCUGAGGAUUGGCCCAACGCUUUCGACUCCUUUCCAAGAACUUGCGGCAAUGUCGUGCGAAUUAGGGUUUUAGAGGGAGCGAGAGGGAAGGAGAGGACGAAAAGGAGGGGAAAAAAAUGAAUCGGAAAGAAAAUACUCUCUCUCUCUCUCUAUAUAUAUGGGGUUAUUGAAAGUUAAAAUUUAAAAUGAUAGUUUUGAAAUGAAAGUUUUGAAACCAAAAUUUAAAUUUAAAAUCUGAAUUCAAAUUUAAAAUCAUAUUCAAAAUUUUGAUUUUAAAUUUUAAAUUUGAAUUCAAAAUUUAAAUUUGAAUUUAAGAUUUGAUUUCAAUUCUAAAUUUGAAUUUAAACUUAGAAUUCAAAUUCACAUUUUGAAUUUGAAAUUUCAAAUCGAAGUUUGAAAUUAAAUUAGAAUUUAGAAUUCCAAAUGUGAAUUUGAAUUAAAAAUUAAAAAUUAAAAAUUAAAUACAAAAUCGAAAUUUGAAUUCUAAUUUAAAUUUGAAUCCAAAAUCAAAAUUUAAAUUUAAAAUUUAAAUCUUAAAUUAAUUUUUUUGAAUUUAUAAAUUUAAUGGGAUAAUUACACCAUUGGUCCUCAACUUUUGCAUCAUUUUUCAAUUUGGUCCCCAAUUUUUUUUUUUUGCAAUCCGCUGGCAUAGUACCACCGUGGCGCUGACACGACGCCUUCGUGGCGCUGACAUGGCACCUCUGUGGCAAUGACAUGGUGCUGAUGUGGCGUUUUCCGCCAAUUUUAACAGCUAUAUAUCUAACGGCUGGGACUUAAUUGAAAUGAAAUCAAAAGAUUAGGGACUUGGUUGCAAAAAAAAAAGGUUGGGGACCAAAUUGAAAAAUAGUGGGCUUCCCGCCCCGAAUCCGUGACGGGUUAAAAAAUAUAUCCCAUAAUUCGCCCCCCCUCGUAACCCGCCUCCCGCCGGCGCCUCGAAUCCGCCCUGUCAACUAAUAUUUUUUAUAAAGUUAUAAUAUUAUUAAUAUUUUAUAAAUUAUAAAUUAAUAAUUUUUAAUAAUAUUAUAUAUAUAAUUUAACAAUAUCAAUUAUAAAAUCAAAAAUAUCAAUCACAAUUCAAAACAAAAUUUAUUUCAAAUACAUUAAAAAUGAGAGUACAUUAUUUGUAUUUUGAAAAUUUUUUAUACAUACAUGAUUUUUUAGGAAUAUUUUUUUAAAAUAUAAAUGAUUUUCGGUGCGGAUUCAGGACGGAUCAUGGCGGGGCGGAUUCGGGGCAGGUCAAAAUUUCUCCCGUUUCCCGCCCCGAAUUCGUCUCGGAUCGUAAAAUUUAUCUCGUUUCCCGCUUCGAAUUCGUUUAUUUUCUCCUAUUUACUGCCCCCGUCGGGGCGAGAGCUCUACCAACCCGGAUUCAUUUGCAUCCCUACACACGGGGGUACCAGUACUCCUUUUUGGUACCGGUACUCAAUAUUGAAAUCCUACACUUUGCAGAUUUCAGUGUCAGAACUCCACUCUCGCACUGUACUGAGUCCUUUUUACGUCCAUUUCGAGCCAAAACGACUCAGACUUAUCUCAACACUCACCAGACGUGCCGACAAGCGCCAGAUGCUGUAAUUACACCGACCGCUAAACACCAGGGACACUACAUCCUCCCCCACUAUAAAAAGUUUCGUCCUUGAAGCUUAAAAUCAUACCUCAACACACGGUCUCAAACAAAUAGGGGUAGGACUCCUGUAUCACAGCCUCCGGCUCCCACGUCGCCUCACGCUCCUUGUGAUUACUCCAGUAUACCUUCACAUACGGUAUGACUCGGUUGCGCAAUUGUUUCGUCUCUCGAGCAAGAAUCCGCACCGGUCGCUCCUCGUACCUCAAGUCUUCGCCAUGCUCAAGUGGAGUGAAGUCAAUCACGUGUGAGGGAUUAAACACAUAUCUUCUCAAUGCUGAGACAUGGAAUACGUCGUGGAUACCGGCAAGUCGCGGUGGAAGUGCAAUCUUGUAAGCCACUGGCCCGACUGGCUCCAAACCUCGAAAGGGCCAACAAAUCGUGGAGUAAGCUUUCCACGAAUCCCAAAUCUGGGAAUCCCUCGGGACGUCGAGACUUUCUGGAACACAUGAUCACCAACCUGAAACUCCAAAUCUCGUUUCCUGAUAUCAGCAUAGCUCCUCUGUCGACUCUGGACGAUCUUAAGAUGUUGUCGCACAACUCUGACCUUCUUUUCUGCCUCCAACAGAAUCUGUCACGCCCCGCCCCGAAACCGCUACCAAUUUGGCACGGUUCGGGUGCGCCGGACUGUAACGACCCAGCCCACUAGCAACAAUAACUCGUUGGGCCCAACCACCGGCCCAAAAUGCUUAAGCCCAGUUAUUAUUACUAGUGUCUAAGUCUCUUAUAAACCCAAUAACAACCCCAUUCCCAUCCGAUGUGGGAUUAUUGGGGUGUCACAGACUCCCCCCGUUAAGGCCCUGACGUCCUCGUCAGUCCAAUCACACAUACAGCCCAAGAUCACUAGGCAAUGUGAGACUCGUCUCUCUAGCCCGUCAUCCAGACCCUGGCUCAGCCGAGACUCGCCACACAUGUCCAGCAGGUGAACCUGCUCUGAAUACCAAAUGUAACGACCCAGCCCACUAGCAACAAUAACUCGUUGGGCCCAACCACCGGCCCAAAAUGCUUAAGCCUAGUUAUUAUUACUAGUGUCUAAGUCUCUUAUAAACCCAAUGACAACCCCAUUUCCAUCCGAUGUGGGAUUAUUGGGGUGUCACACGGACGGACGCCGAGCGGACAGGGGAGGUCCUGUCCGCCCAAGGCUUAAAACCUGAUCAUGUACAAGAAUUUAUCCAGGAAAAACUAAAUUCAUACGUACACAAUCAACAGGGCACAAAUAUUGCCAACGACAAAGAAGAGCAAGUAAUCCACAAGAUACACAAGUGAAAUAAAGAGAGAACUUACUAGCGAUUACAAUAAUUUGCAAUCCUUUUUACAUUUACAUCACUUUCUCAAAAUGAAUACAAUUUCAUCAAUACAUAGCUCUCCGAACCUCACCUACAAGAGUCUCUCUCAAAUACAUAGGUGCUAAUGCAAAAAGGAAAGCUACUAUGCUACCACGUACUCACUGAUCGGGCGCGAUGCCCUUGCCGUGGUCUUCGCCCGGCAAACCUGUACCUACCACUGAAAAUAGAGUUGGGUGAGAACUAUCUUCCAUAGUUCCCAGUGGACUCGGCCCCGACUCCACCGAUCUCCCCACUAGGUCCAAGUGGGCACAAAUAACAACGAGAUUAAUAGAUAUAUCAAAGCUGUAAAUGCAUAAAGAAAAACUAUGCUACCAUGCCCAUAAUCAUGUAUAUGAAUGCAUGCAUCAUUUAGUAAAGAUACUAUCAUGCUAUCAAAUCGAUCCAUGUUCGAUAAGUAAUGCUCAAUACGAAUGUUAACUUACAUUAACUUUUAUUUACCCAAUCUGUGGCAAAACCCUUGGGUUUGCCUAUGCCUCACAUAUCCAUCCCGUAGGGUAGGGCGCUCCACGUGCCCCCAAACCCGGAACUGUCUGCGGACAUCAACUCUGUCCUACUCGCCCGACACUCCGGAGUACUCGACGACAAUUCCUCUCCGUGUGAGGAUGUGAAUGGCUUUACCAUUCCAAUAACAGACCGUGAGCUUGAUCUAUCCUCUCCACGUGAGGAUACCCUACGAACUAGGGCCAACAUUUAUUUCGGAACUCCCUAUUCCGAUAUUCAUGCAUAGCUACUUAGCUUUACUAAGUUCUUUGUCCACAGGGCAUUUAUUAAGGGAUCUACCUAUCCCUAAGUCCAUAAUACCUCUAGUGUUAAGUACACUACAUUAAUACCAUUCGAUAUGUUCUUUAAACAUUUAGAUGCCCCUUUCUAUGUCACUAAACAACCCUUGAGUCCAUCUCUUAUCUUUAGCACUAUAGAAUCCAUGUUUCAACCCAACCCUUACCUAUCUAUUUUAUCAAGCAAUCCAUGUACACUAGGUUUUCAUUUAGAAAGCAUAAGGAAAGGUAUUACAUACAAUUCUAUAAUGCAACAUGCAAAGGAUGGAAUUAUGUUAUUCUAAGACAUAGAAAGAAGUUCAGUUGCUUCGGGAUGACACCCCCCACCUUUUAACGUCGAUUGACGGUGUAGAGGCUCCAAGAAUGCUCCUCGGCACUUCGAACGACUAGCUUUCCGCCCCUUUGGGGGAAACGAAGACCGUACGGCUUUAUUUUGCGAAUAGCUUCUCAAUGGCUCGACGAAUGCUAAAAGCGACUUCGGCCGCGCGUUUCGUUACCUAUCAAUUAGGUUUCCAAGAUCUCAAAUUAGAUCAAACCCCACUUUUAUCAAAAACCCUAAUUUGGGCUCUAGCGUUAGCACCAAGCUAAACCCAUCUCAAAAACUUUAGAUUCUAGCUCCAUGCCACCAUUCAUGGUGCUAGGGAUCCAUUUGACCCCACUUCCCAAACUAAAAACCCAAAAACCCUAAGUUCACAAGUUAGGGUUUAGUAGCUUACCUCUUGAGCUACUCCAAAGGGAAGAGGAGAGGGAGAGGGAGAUGUCCAAAAGCUUCUCUUUGGUCUCCUUCUUCUUCUUCUCCUUUCUCUCCUUCUUCUUCUUCCUCUUCUUCUUCUCUUCUUUCUUCUUCUUUUUCUUUUAGAGAGAAAAAGAGAAAUAAGUAAGAGAGAGGGAGUGAGGAGUGCAAGUGAGAGAGGGGAGAGGGCUCAGCCCCUCUAUACACUACACCCCUUCUAAUGUAACAAUUGCACUAAAACCCCUCACUUUUCCAUCUUGUGCAUAGCCCUCACUGGGCAAUUCGCGGGCGGAGGGACUGGUCUCCCCGACCUCGGACCGGCCCCCAAGAGCCUUCCCCCAGUGCACGCGUUUGGAAACCGGUCUCCCCAGCCGAGGGACCGGUUGCCUCGCGCGUUUGCCGCAACCAUCAGCCUCGGGGACCGGUCUUCUCCCGCCAAGGACCGGUCCCCGAGAGCAACCUCGUGCAGACGACGUUCGGGAACCGGUCUCUUCCUGUCAGUGACCGGUCCCCGAGAGUAAAAUCUGCCAAGUACAGAUUUUGCACUAUUUGCUCUCGUGGACUCCAUUCCAAUACACUUUUUGGGUUCUGUGCCAUUCCGGCUUUUCUAAAGCUAACCCAUUCGAUAAGUAGUCAAUCCUGGACGGAGUGCAACUCUCGAAUUUCGAGAAUUCACUUCCUUACAGAAUCUCAGGGCCCAAAGUCUUUCUCUCACCCAUAUCACUCCAAUGCAAAGGUGAUCGACACAUGCGUCCAUACAACGCUUCAAACGGAGCCAUUCGAAUACUCGCUUGAUAGCUGUUGUUGUACGCAAACUCAACCAAUCUCAAGUAUCGAUGCCACCCACCUCUAAAAUCCAAGACACAAGCUCUCAACAUGUCCUCUAGAGUUUGAAUGGUCCUCUCUGACUGACCAUCUGUCUGUGGAUGAAAUGCCAUACUAAAAUGGAGCUGCGUACCGAAAGCCGUCUGUAGGCUCCUCCAGAAAUGCAAGACGAACCUUGGGUCUCUAUCUGAUUCAAUCGAGGUAGGUACUCCAUGUAACCUCACUACCUUAUCCAAGUAUAGCUGGGUGAGUCGCUCCCUGGCCCACGUGGUUUGCACUAGCAGAAAGUGAGCAAACUUAGUCAGUCUGUCCAGUAUCACCCAUAUAGCAACAAAUCCACUCUGUGCUCUCGGUAAACCCACGAAAAAUCCAUCGUGAUUUGCUCCUGUUUCCACUCAGGCAUUGGGAGAUUCUGAAGCUUGCCAGUAGGUACAUGAUACUCUACAUUCACUUGUUGGCAAGUCAGACACUGAGCCACGCAUCUGCCAAUGUCCUUCUUUAUUUCAUUCCACCAGAAGUGUGCCUUUAAAUCCUUAUACAUCUUUGUUCUACCAGGAUAUACCAUAUAAGGUGAGUAAUAAGCUUCUUUCAAAAUCUUAUCUCAGAUCUCUGAAUCCAUAAGCACACACAGUCGGCCCCUGUACCGCAGUACUCCUGAACUGUCCACAGUAAAGGCCUCCGCCUAUCCCCUCUCAAUCUACUCCCGGAUCCUCAAUAAAUAGGCGUCUCCACUUUGUUUCUUUCUAAUCAUGUCCAAUAGAGUGGGCUGAAGACUAUAGAUAUCAGUCUCGUAGUAGUCCCAGGGGACACUAUCUCGAGCCUCAACCGCUGCAACUCCUCAAGUAAUGGUCUCUACUAAGUGAUCAAUAUGCUCAAACUCUGCACCGACUUCCUGCUCAACGCAUCUUCCACCACAUUCGCCUUACCGGGAUGAUACUGAAUGCUGAUAUCAUAAUCCUUCAAUAACUCCAACCACCGGCGUUGCCUUAGGUUCAACUCCUUCUGAGUGAAUAGAUACUUGAUACUUUUAUGAUCUGUAAAGAUCUCAUAGUGCUCACCAUACAGAUAAUGCUGCCAUAACUUCAAAGCAAAGACCACAGCGGCAAGCUCUAAGUCAUGCGCCCAAAAAAAAAAAAGAAAAUCUUGUAUGAGCUUAUUCCUAAAUCUGAUAGUCUUGAGAUUUGAACAAAAAUUAAAAUACAACUUUAUGAUUUGGGCAUGAAAUGUGUAAGACUAGCUAGCCAAAUAAUCUUUGCUAAGAUCUGCUUGAGAUGCUUUUAACGAAAUUGUACUGUUAAUCUAUUACAUAUGCAAAAUAGUUGUUUCUUUUUUUUUUUUUUCUGUAAUCUUAAGGCUAUUGAAGAAUUAAUAUUUUUUAAUAUUUUAUAUUCAACACUAUUCUUACACUCACGAAUAUAUUUGAUAGUCUAUAAAGUUUUGACGAGACUGCAUAAUUCAAUAGACUCAAACAGUCAAUGACUUUUUAUACUAGUAUUAUGUUAAACAUUAUAAUAAUCUGUUUUUUUCUAAAGUUCCAAGUAAAAACUAUUUUUUAGAAUAUUUUAAUUCUCUUCGUGAGCGUAGCAUGAUUUCACUUUACCAACAGAAAUUGUUGAGAAGUUUUACUUUACUAUUAUGUAUUUUGAAAAUAAAAUAAAAUCCAAAGAUAGUUAAGUGCAUCUUAUGAGAACUACGAGCAGGUCAAAGUAAAAAUAUGCAUGCUGUAAGAUCCUGUUUGGUUUCAAGGAUAAGCGGGGGUAAGAAAGUUAUCGCGCAAACGGAAUCAUUUUUUUCCAAGGAUAUUUUAUCCGGUCAAAGUUUGCUAUUUCCANNNNNNNNNNNNNNNNNNNNNNNNNNNNNNNNNNNNNNNNNNNNNNNNNNNNNNNNNNNNNNNNNNNNNNNNNNNNNNNNNNNNNNNNNNNNNNNNNNNNUCCAAGGAAACUCCUCACCUCGACCAGUAGCUGCUCACUAGUAGUAACGCUUGUUGAGAAGCAGACGAGACUUCGGUCAUAGGCCAAUUCGCUCGAAUCGCCUCAAUCUUACUUCGGGUCACGCUAGCUCAGCUGAAAUCACCGUCGGCCCAAGAAAGCAACAUCCGUAGCCAGAACUCGCACUUCGUUUAUUGGCAUACAAUUCUUCUCGCGCAAAGCAUGUAGCACAUCCUCAAGUGUUCCUAUGCUCAGGCAUCACUCAGGAGUAAAGUAAAUCAGGAUAUCGUCGAUGAGAAAUACCAAAACCUGUCCAGAACGGCUUGAACACUCUAUUAUCAAAUCUGGAAGGGGCAGGAGGCAUUAGUCAAUCCAAAAGGCAUCACCGUGAAGCUUCAUAAAGUGCCACGUACACGGAGUCGAAAGCCGUCUUUUGGCGAACGAUCCUCGGCCGUCACCCUCAACUAGGUGGUAACGCUGACUGGAGAUCAAUCUUCGAAAAGACCAUGAUCCGUGCAGAUGAUCGAAUAGAAUUCAUCAAUGCGCGGCAGAGGAUUUACUUUUCUUGAUAGGUCCUUUAUUUCAGCUCUGUUAAUCUACCAUACCUGGCGAACCAUCUUCUUCUUUAAAAUACACCGCGCUCCCCAAGCGACAUCACUGGGUCUUACAACCCCUCUAUCCAUCAAUCCUGAAGUUGCGCCAUUUGUCUCUCAGCUCUGCGGUGCUGCGUGCCAUCCAUGUAGGUACUUUUGAGAAUUGGUGCAGUUCCAGGCAAACUACAUCAAUCACAAACUCAAUCUCCCUCUCCGCCAAUCGCAAUGUUCGUCAACUGGGGGAAAUACAUCCGGAAAACGCUGGAUACUGGGAUGUCUGCGAGUCUCGGCCGCCGCCGUACGGCCUCCACCACUGUCGCUAGCGAAAGCCGAUACACCACUGCUCAGGCAUCUGUCGAGCCCUCGCCAGGAAGUUCCAGGAUGGCAAACAAGCGCGACAUCCUGCAGCCUCUGAAGUAAACUCCUCCUAGCCUGGCUCGGCGCGUAACGUCACCGUUCCUCGACUCCACAGUCGAUCGUAGCAUCAGUACCGCGCCAGCCAAUCCAUACCGAGCACUACGUCGAAUCCUGCAGGUGGCCCAUAACUCCAACAGCUUCUGCGGGCAUGACCCAGAGUCUACUGACCGACAGACCAAACAACACUCCGUAACCUGCAAGACAUGGUCCGGGGAUCUGCACCUUCUCAUGCCUGAAGACAACGCCCUAACUCUAGACCCAUGCAACAAUUGCAGAAUCUCGGUAACAAGGAAUGGAUGCACGGUUAUCAAAAACGAGUGCGAACCUCUAAUCCAAAAAUCAACAGGAUACCUCGCCACCACUUCGGUCGGCUGCUGAAGAGUCCUCCACCUGAGCUGCAUAGACCCGGCACUCGGAGCCUGCUGUCGCCGCCAUCUCGCCCGCGGCAACUGAACGAUUAUCUCCUGGCAGGUAGCUCGUGCUGCCUCCGUAAGACUGUGUGGUGCUGGUGGUGCCGAAGCUGAUGACGGUGCUGGAGAUGCUGCCGGACAGCGCCCUCAUGAUGUCACGAGCUGACCAACAUCUAUAGAUCUACCCUCUCUCUGCUCGCACUGCGAGGCCAGUCGCGUCCACCGCAGAUCACACACUGUGCGUCCUCUGAGUCUGCCCCUGCUGACGGGAUCCCCUGGAACGCUGACGCUCCGGACAGGACCCACGACCCUGGAGAACGUGAUCGUGAGAGCCCGGUCUCGGCGGACGUCUGCUGCUACGAUGCCCUCGUCAUUAGGGAAAGGGGCCUUCUGUCCUGACCCGUGCCCGACGGCCUGAGUCCUCUCCCUGCCAGUGAUCACCUCGCCUCUCGGUCCCCAUAGGGCCUGCUCUAUGGACGCAAUCCAGGCGUCCUCGACCUCUGCCGGCCCGCACUACCUGAAGAGAUCCGGUCUGCCCUGCUGAACAUGUAUACUCGCGGUGCGCCUGUCUACUGAGGACAAAUGGCUACACAGUCAGGAGCUCGAGUAAACUCCGAACGUACUCCUUGCACUGGGGCGAUUCUGACUGAAGCCCUCCUCAAGUCCUCCUCGAGCUGUCUGCUUCACACUGUCGGGAAAGGACAUCCCAAACAGCAUUCCACAGAACUCGUCCACUCAGCUGCGCCGGCCAUCUAGCCCCUUGCGUCUCGCCAUCGUCCUCGCACCAGUCAUCGAGCAUCACCUCUGACAUGUAUCCCAGGUCAAGACUGCUCCCCUCUGGAUACGAACAGGUCUCAAAUAAAACUUACCGUCCAGUUCGCACGUUGACCCAUCCCUCAACAUCAGGCCUCAGUGCCGUCUGCCAUCGAAGAUCGGUGGAUCAAAAUCGGCGAAAACGACGCUAACCUUCUCCGUCCACCGCCUCAGCUUCGGCUCAAGUCAACGAGUUACUGCGCCCCCUAGCAAGGCCACAACUGGCGCUACAAUGGAACUGCUGCUGAUGGAGAACUGGUCGCAGCUGGUGCAUGUCACUGGAUAGUCGAGGUGAACUUGAGGACUCUGGUGCCUCGCGGCUACAGAACCGGUGCGUCUGCCAGCUUCCUCUCACAACAACAAUCUGCAAUAGCCUCCCCCUGCUGUCUCGUCACUUCGCGUCAGCGUCGGAGCUAACUGUGCACUCAAAUCACGGGGUACGCUUAGUCUCUGGUCGCGCACUCGCGCUCCCAAUCGGGUACACUCACGACCACCAGUCUGUCACCCUGUCCCGUCGAGUACUCUGCUCCAUCUGCUCAGAUUCUCUCAGAAGGUCCAGCAUGAUCCGGCGCCCAACUGGGCGCGCUCCCGCAAACGACGGCUUCGACCCUCGGCAGAGAUACAUAGCUUAAAGGAACAAUUCCGGCCGGUCAGAUAACAACAAAACACUCUCGACCCAAUCAAACGAAAGUCCCAGAAGGGGUCCCUGUUUCCCUCCAAAAUUGUAUGUCGCUCUGCCAGCCACAUUAAUUUUCUCAGGCCGACACAGAAACUCCUUCAGUCACUCACUCUGUUUUUACUCUAAGAGAGAGUUUAGAAACAAUAAUCAAUAUGACUUCGCAGAUAAAAUCGUACGGCUCUCACGUCUUGCUUCCCUAAGGUUUGCCACAAACUAGUUUCUAGGUCCCAGACCUUACAGCCAAAGCUCUGAUACCCACUUAAAUUGUACGCCCCGCGAUUACACUUUCUCCUGGCACGCCGACAAAUCCGCCCUGUAUACAAAGGAAUUUCCCCUGUAUAGAAGCGUACCUGUACCUCGUACAUCAACACUUACUACGACAGUAGUAGAGGCUCUAAGGAAUAAAGAAAGGCUAAACAACUGAGUUUCAUAUACAUAGUCCAAUCCAAAUACAAAGCUACUCCACUGGCGAGUAAUGAUCACUAUGUACAUAACACUCGAAACAAAACAUGUAUGCAGUUAGGAGCACUCUCAAGCUCAGGCACGCGGUAGUAGGCGCUCGUAACUCGCGUGCCCUUACCUCGAUCCUUGACGCGGAAGGACGAGCAGCCCGAAACUGGUGGCUCUUGCAAACUGGGGAGCAGAAUGGUUAACAACUGGGUGAGGAACUACUAUAAAAACAAGUAGUCAUCAGUGAGGUACCGCCAAAAACAACACUCGCUCCACCCACUAAGUUACAGGACGGUAGCAAGAAAGUAGGAAAAGCAGAAACAACAUCAACCGCUAACAAAAUCACUAAUACUAUUCCAUGCCAUUACAUAACCAAUGUAGGAAAUGUCAUAAAAUCUGACCAAUCCAAUCGGGACUGUAGACAUCUACGGAUCCCUCAGGGACUUCGUGAACACACCGUCCCUGGCCCGUUGCGACUAUCGGGCAUUCUAUCACACUAAAAACUGGUCUGUGGAGAGCAAGUCCAUGGCCAUGAGCGACACAACGCAAACAGCACAAGCCUGACUCCGGAGUGCACAUCUCGUUGGGCGCUACCCAACCGAGUAUGCAGGUAUCUUUGUCUCUGUCGAGCAAUUCCAGCUCCAACUAGCCAAUUCAAUUAAACGACUUAAUACUGGUUAAAACAACAGGUAACUGUCGCCUCGGCUCUCCUGACGCAACAUAAGCGAGAUCCGCGUCCACCGUAACUCUGACGGCACCAACUCGUCCCGUAACGGCCUGAACGGACCUUGCCAAAAAAAAAAUUCACUCGGCGAACCAGCUACGAUGUGUAAAUACUUCUAAACUAGCCCAGGUAUCCAUUGCACGUGACUCGGCAACGAUACAUCGAUACACGGCUCUUAGAGCCCUAAAUCUGGAUAGUUUUAAGCAUAUGGACGGCGUCAAAACGCAGGUUUUCUCCUAAGUUCAAAUUUAUCAAGUCCAAACAUGUAUAACUCUUAAAUAUUUUCAUUUCAGGCCAUACUUUCUUAAUUCACUAGUACAUUCAAAAUGCUAAUCGAUGAAUUAAAGCCAUAUUUACAACACUCAAACUAUAACCGUUGGACUAACAUGCCUUAGCGAGCGAACCGAAAACACCCACUCUAAUUGCAAAUCCUCGGCAGCAAUUGUAGGCUCUCGAUCCUCAGAGCAACACUGCUGGAAACCCUCUUCAAACCAGGCAAUCAACAGCCCUUAAGAUCUGGAUUUACAUUGCCACCCAAAAUUCAGAUAAAAAUCAUAAAAUCCACAAUCAGUCCAAGUAACCAGCAGCAGAGAAGAGAAAGGUUAUCGACAAGUAACCUUCACCAACAAUCCACAGCUAAGGACUUCGUGGAUUGCUUCUCGCAAGCUCCGAUAACAACGAAAUCAGAGUCUCGACGAAAAUGCAUGCUCUACGUCGCAGCGAGCUGAAAUACAACAGUCGACGAUUAAAGUCCGCCAAAACAGCAUUUAAGCUUAAAAAUCCCAAUCUCCAUCUGUCAAAACUCACCUAAUGAACCCGACCCCCCCCCCUCCCAAUCAGGCGUGUAAGAGGCAUGAUCAGUGCUGGGUGAUGGUGAACGUGACUCAAACUCCACCAAAGCACCCUGCUUCAAAGUGUUCACCCAAAUACAAGGAACUCAAAAACUUACAAUUCUGACCCACAGCAACAACAGCAGAGGAACAACUUUGUAGUUCGACUGAGCUAACCCUUGCACUAAAUUCUCCUCGUGAAUCAUGGCUUUUCGUGGAUUCCUCUGGGAAGUCAUAGACAUCCAGCAAACCAAGUUUGUCGAUAUCGAUCUUCCUCGUCGCCACGACGAGUCAAACACUUGGGAGUGUCGAGUGAAGAACUGCAGAAUCAGCCACAACCAUCAAGUGGAUCCAAUGGAAUUGCAUGCAAUUUGAAGCAAUCGAGGUUUUGAGAGGCUAAGUAGGCGGUUUCUCUGGAAGGAAGGAAGAAAGUGAGCAGCCAAAUGGGACGCUUACAAGUAAUUUAUAGUGGUUAGAACGAUCCAAAAAGUCAAACUAAGCUGCUAUCAGUGCCCCUGACCAGAAACGGGCAUUUUUCCGCGCUGGGCGCCCAGGAACCAUUUCUGGGCGACCAGAACAUCCCGACUGCACAAAACGGGCCACUUCGGUCUCUCGCCGCGGUGUUGCUGCGCCCGUAAACGCUUCCGGCGGAGUCACCUACCACCCUAUGCCACGCGUCGAAGCAAGCGAUAUUCACGAUGGUGCGAAUUUCCGGACCCACUUCUGGGACGCCCGGAACAUAGGAUCCGAAUUGGCUUCCAGUUUCAAUUAAAAUCAACACUCGUUUCUGGGCGACCUAACAAUUGUUCUGGGCGGCGGCAGAGUCGCCGCAAUCUGUGAAAACUUCAGUUUUGCUUUUUGAGGUGCGCCGGAGUCCAAUUCCUGAUCAAUUCGAUGGCAGAACUGACUACCGGACUCAGCUCGACACUCUCUCAGAGAUGAUCGACACUCUAUAAUACUGAAGCCAAUCUCUAUCCAAAGCUCAGCAACACUACAAAAGGUCAAACUAGUAUAUUUUCUAUAGAAGGACUACUAAUCAUUUGAUUUAUGGUCCUAAUUACUUACCUGAACGGACUUAUUUGCAUUCUCCCAGAGGUGCUAAGUGCAACGUCUCUUUGUGUUGCAGCCCAGGAAUUCAAGUAGAUUGAAAAGCGGGCCCUAAACUUUCUUCCAGUCGCUCCCGUCUACCAGCCGGAAAAAGCGCGCUCCUUCCGUUAGUUGAUCGCUCAGAAAAUUCAUUGUAUACUGUCGUAUGCAUCAUCGAUGAAUAAAUUACGUCUAUAUCAAAUGUAGUAGAUAACUGCUCACUAUAUAUUCUAAGCGUCGUUCCUGCUAUAUCGAAUUAAUUUUUGAUAAUAUGAUAUCAGAGUAAAUUUUACUAUAUCCCUUUCAUUUGCAAAAUCGUGGGUUCAACUACCACCUGUUCAACAUUUAGCGGUUAAGUUUUAUCUCUAUCUCAAUCUACCAAUUUAUACGUACCCUUUCAAUCUUAUUAAGACAUUCAGUCGGAUAGUUAAAUAUACCUUAACUUGCUUAAGAAAAAUAAUGACAACUUAAACGUACAGAACUUAUACUGAACCAAUGUUAUUAUUUGAAUCGGUGAUCCAGCUGUUCAAAAUUUGAUUUUAUUAUCCAAUCUUACAAUUUGUUUGAUUUGAGUCAGGUCAACGUCCUUUGACUCAAAAUUUGCAAUACUGUGGUUAUUUUUACAAAUUUAACCUGUGUAUUUUUUUAUGCAAUUUUCUCAACUCUUUAUUCAUUUAAAAUAAGUUUGUUAGUUUUGAAGUCAAAUCAAACGAAUUUGAACAGGUUGGAUAGCAAAAUCAAAUUAUCAAAAAGAAUUGAAUAACCGAGCUCAAAAUAGGUAUAAUUCAGCGCUAUUUUGUCAUGUUUGUUUUUUACCGAAAACAGAAAGCGCCAGACUCACGCCAAAGAGGUCGAUACCGACAUGACCGAGGUGCAUCUUCCAUGAUAAGGGCCCGCCGAGCCGCGGAAUACGUUGCCUGCGUGAUGAAGAAGCCCACGUGGCUGCACUCCAGAGCAAGCCCCAGAUCAUCCAUGCACCUACUUCUUGUUAGCAACGUACUGGUACUUAUAUCAUCCACCUGAUCAUAAGCCUCAGUAUCAAUAGAGUUUAUUUACUUACGCAGAAUUAAAGUUUUGAUUUUGCUGAUCAUCGAGUUGGAUUUUACCUCGCCCUUGAACUCGGGCUCGAGCGGGUUCACGAUUCGAACCGCUUCCUUGUACGCCAAUGUCACCGCUCGUGGGAACUGCCGAUCCUCAGCUCUCGGCAUUUUUCUUCUUCUGUCGUCUGCUACCGCCAUGUAUCGGAACCUGACAAGUCGAUAAAUCACCAAAUUCAAUUAGGUUCAUUAUAAUACAACAAGGUGCUGGCUUAAAGGGCCAACAUCCUAUCCUAUGGCAGGAGGUCAGAUUGGGCUGAGUCAUGCUCGAAGUGGCGUGUAGCUGAAUGAGUCGAGUCACAAUUGAAAUCUGUGGGCACUAUAUCUAUAACUUUAAGUGAAUUAGUUAUAUAUUUCUAACAGUUCGAGCUUUCAGGAUUAAUGGUUAGCGCCAACGAUCUGGCACAAUGCAGCUAAGAGAACAAGGAAGAAGAAGAAAAAGAAAAGUUCUUACUUGUCUUCGCGAAGCUUGAAGGCGAUUCGAGUCUCCGAAAGGUCUAAACCGGGCCAGCCUCUCUUAUGCUCGAAGAUCGCAUAGCUAUAAAACCCUGAACUACCGCGAAGCACUACAUACCUGAUCAAAUCUUCGAGUUAUUGUAUACAAUGAUUUUAAAUCAUUCUUUUUUAUAUUAGGAUUUCAAUAGCGUACCUUAUAUCGACGUUCAAUCGGACACCGUUAUGAAGCGACGGAUUCCAUGUUCUGCUGAAAGAAACCUCCACCUGAUGCUCCUUCUGCACUAUGACCUCAUAUUCUGUACCCUCAAAUCUGCAUAACAUGUCUCCGCCUCUUUCUCAGAAUAAGCAGUUUUUGCUUGUACUAACACUCAACAUUAUAGUGCAGUUUCAAUUAGAUCCCCCUCAAUUCAAUUGUUACAGGUUUCUCUAUUUCGUCGCAAUCUUACCCUCUUGUUAAAUUCGUGCAAUAAAUUGGGCUAAUUUUUAAAAUUCUAGCUAAUACAGAUAUUUGUACUCAGAAACUUAAUGAAAAAAAGGUAAGAUCGCGAGGAAAUGCAUUUAAGAAAGAAAUUUACAAACUCACAUCGCGAAAAUUCCUCUUCGUCCAGAACCAGGAAAGUUCCAUACAAGAUCCCAAUACCUAAAAGCGAUGCAAAAGAUUGAAUUAUUAGUUUGACGCAAACCAUAUCCUACAAAGUUCAACAGUUCUUUUUUUACUGUAGCAGUAGGUGUUUAUGAAACUACGUACCCGCCUAAAUUGCUUUUGUUAGAUGAAUACUGCAACAAGUUAUCAAUACCAUUGUACCGAAUUCCCGUAAUGCGACCCUGAGGCUUCGAUAUGGUUAGUUCGAUGAUGCCGUUGCUGAUAAUCACACCUAAAAACACGGUUAUUUGCGUACGUAAAAGCGCAGUAUCAGUCACCAAAUGAAAAUACGAGAGGAAUUAAUUACUACACGUAGUUUAUUAGCAAGCGACAAAGAGCAUUGUUUUAUCACCUGGUUAUACUCUACAUGUAGUAGAACACCUCGAGUCGACGCCGCCGAGGGAACUGCUAAAGCUAAAAGCCAUGAACAGGAGAGAACUACACAUACAAAAAAGUGAGAACCCAUGUAUAAUAAGUUGAUCAAUGUUGCACAAGUGUUUUUUUUUUCUUUCUUUCUUUCUUUUCUUUCUAAGGUAAUUUAUGUGCAAGGAGUACGUUUUAAUCGUUCAUAAAAAGAAGAUUUGCUAUAUGGGCCUGCAUGCCCAGUGGUGCCCUCCCACCACCAGGAGAGAUCGUCGACUAUUCAUGGUUUGUGAGUCUCACCCACGUCUUUUUGGGUCCAUGCAUGAUCUCCUUUGACAGGUUGCUUCCCCUCCUAUAAACUUUGUUUAUGUAUACACAAUAUAUAGGGAGUGCAUUAAAUUAUUAUCUUAACGCAAAUGUAAGUUGAUAUAUAUAUAUACUUAGGCUUGCUAUAUGUGUUUUUUUUUUUGAGAGAGAUAGAUAGCAUGCUACCCGCUUCGUUUAUUUCAUUUAAAAAUAAACUUAGCUGGAAAUGUGAAUCAACUAGGAUUCGAACUUAGAAUCUCGGGUACCAACUACCAAGCCUUUUGCCAUUUGCUCGAGAGACGGUCAGUAGGCUUGCCAUAUGUGUUAAGUAGAAUGUGAACACAUUCAAAGGUAACUCCAGCAUGUUUAAUUGUACUUCAUUAUGAUAGCCUUAUUAAUAAUUAGUGGUUGUUUCACUGAUAAAAAUUUGUUGGUUAACAAUAACUUGAUCCACUGAAUCCAUACCAUCUCUAAUUAAUUAGCAUCUAGUAAUGGUGGUAGCACCAUGUACACAACUAAUAUUAAGCUUUAUUUUUUUGAGAAAGAGGUAGCGAGCUACCUGUUUCAUUCAUUAAGUAAAAUGAACUAAGCGUACAGUGUGAAAGCAACUAGGGCCUCCGAUAAGAGUUACAAAGAGUAACAGCAAAAAUAGAGCAGGAAGGAGGUGAAGAAGAUGAAGAAAGAAAGGGAAAGUGGGGAGUAGAGUGAAAGAAAGAGAUUAACAGGAGCUGGGGCAGUCAGAGGAGCUCGGUCCAGAAUUUCGUCAGAAGUUUGGUUGAUCAAGAGCUCGGGUGGCGUUGGGGAUCAUUGAAUGGAAAAUGAUGUUAUUUCUUUCUGUCCAUACUACCCACCAAAUUGCCGCGAGAAUGGUCAAGGCUUCUGAUCUCUUCUUUGUGUCGAUGAUAGCAACUAAUUUGGUCCAAAGGUCCCGAACAUCGUUCGAAUCCCAGUAGGUAGGACCGCCCUAAUGAUCAGGAAACGUACAAAGACACACAGUUGCAGAAAAAGUGGUCGCAGGUCUCCGUGGAGAGCACGCAGAAAACACAGUGUUUAUCCACCACCAUCCCAUGGGCCAGCAAUCUAUUAGCAGUGAGUAAUCUCUUGCGGAUUAGCACCCAGAUGAAGAUUUUGAUUUUGGUCUGAAUUUUUAGUCUCCAGAUUAGCUGGUUCGUCGGGUCCCUUUGUCCUGUGUUAUCUAUGAACUUGUAAAGGGAUUUGACCUUAAACAGUCGGUUGGAUGUCCACCGCCAUUUGAGUGUGUUCGGAUUGGUGGUAGGGCUACGGUGAAGGAGUAGAUCUUUAAAAAGGUUAAUUGUCUAAGGUUCUCGAUGGACUGAGACGCCACAAACCCUCUGCAGAUGAAGCACCAUCUCCAACCGUUAGAGUUCCAACAUUGAGAUAUUCGGGCCACUUUGUUCCUUAUAUUGGCGAAAAUUUCCGAAAACGUGGUGUGAAGGGGGGUUUCGCUGAUCCAAAUAUUAGACCACAUCCUGAUACUGCUUUCGCCUCCUAGCUCAUAAGACAUUCCGCAUUUGAACACUUCUCGAUAUCAGAUCACGCUUUUCCACCACUGAGAGUAAGGUAUGAAUGCUCUGCCCUCAUGUAGCGGCCUGUGUCUGGUGUAAUAGAGAGAUCUAAUCAACUUGCACCAGUGUAGGUGUGGCUCAUUGAAAAAGUUCCACCACCAUUUAGAUAAGAGAGCUAGGUUCAUGAUUUCCAAGUCUUUGAUUCCCAACCGGCCUUCUUCUUUGCUUUUGCAUACCGUUUUCCAGUUCACAAGGCAUGCUCCCCCUGAGAUUUUGGGGCCACCUUUCCAGAAGAAGGCUUUUCUCAGGCCUUCAAUACGAUGCAGUACCCAUUGCGGCACUUUAAAGAUGAAGAGGUAGAAUAGUGGUCAAUUGGUGAGGACCGAGUUAACGAGAAUCAAUCUUCCCCCUUGAGAUAAGAGUUUGGCUUUCCACCCAUCGAUUCUUGCUUCUAUGCGAUUAAUGACCAAAGCCCAAUCUUCCUUGCGAAGGUGUUUAAUGUGUAGAGGAAGGCCCAGAUAGCGGAACGGGAGACAUCUGGCUUUACAUCCUAUAAUGUUAGCCAAUCGGGCCCUUUUUCGAGGAUUGGGUCCUAGGUAGUAUAGCUCUGAUUUGUCCUUGUUAAUCCUGAGCCCAGAGGCCCAUUCAAAGAUUUUCCAGAGGAACUGCAGGUUCCGUAUGAUGUAUUUUCUAGGCUCGCAAAAAAUUAUUGUGUUGUCGGCGUAUUGGAUGAGCACCAUCUGACAGUCUAAUGAAGGGCCAAUACCAUGUAGCAAGUUGUUACUCCUCGUAGUUUCGGUUAGUCUCGCCAAGCAGUCAGCUACGAGUAGGAAGAGGUAGGGAGAAAGAGGGUCACCCUGUCUAAGGCCCUUUCUUGCAGAUGCAUUGUUCGACCCAAAUCCACCAUUGGUCGCUAAAUCUAAGCCAUCGUAGUAUACUUUGCAGAAAAGUCCAUUUGAUGUUGUCGAAGGCUUUUUCAAAAUUGACCUUGAUACUUACGCAUUCCUUGCUAGAUUUUGAGCACCAGUUGACAAGUUCAGUUGCGGUGACGAAUGAGUCAGUUAGCAGCUAAUCUUUGUGGAAAGCCGAUUGCGAUAAGGUGAUGAUGGAUGGCAGAAUGAGCGCGAGUCUAUUUGCGAGAACUUCAGAGAUGAUUUUUUGAAUUCCAUUGAUUAGGCUGAUCGAUCGGAAGUCGUUAGCCUUACGUGCUCCUUCCUUUUUGAGGAUGAGGCAGACGUAAGCGUAGUCAACUGGGCCGGUAAAAAGUCUGUUCUCCUGUAGGUCGAUGAAUAUGUUAAAAAUAUCCUCUUUGACUAACUCCAAGAAGGUUUGGUAGAAAAUCAGUAGAAAGCCGUCCGGCCCAGGGGCCUUGUCGCUGCCUAGUUGGAAGGUUGCUGUCUUAAACUCCUCCAGUGUAAACGGAGUCGUUAGAAGAUCCCGUUGGGCAAUCUGUUGGAUUGGUAGAGACUACUCCAAUCUGCAACUGUUGUAAGUCCCUCCUCCACCUGUCCGAACAGUUGUUGAAACUUUUCGAAGAAAUAGGUUCUCUUGCGAUCCUCAUUAGUGAUAUGUCGCUCGGCGUCAUCUUCAAUGACUUCAAUCGCAUUAAGGCGUUUCCGUCCAUUGGCCACCCCGUGGAAAAAUUUAGUGUUGCUGUCGCCUUCCUUGAGCCAGCGUUGUUUAGACUUGGUUUUCCAAAGAAUUUCUUCCUCUUGAAGGAUGAUCUGAAGUUGAAAAUUUGAGAUCAGUCCGUUUCUCUACAGUUGUCCAUUUCUCUAUAGUUUCCUGUGUCAGGUUAAUCUGCUCCUCGAGUUGGUCUAUUGCUUGGAGUUCCGACUGUAAUAGGCUUUUGGUGUUGGAGAUGCUGUGAAAAUUUGUCUUACACCAUUCCUUCAUUCUAGCUUUGCAGUGCUUGAGCUUAGCAUUUAUCGUGAGUAUGGCAGAUUUCUUGGAGGUGACUUCGUUCCACCAGAUUGGCAUGUUCUUGACGAAAUUAUCCUUGGUGAGCCCAACCCUCUCGAAUCGGAAUCUACGUGGGGAAGGGUGAAGCCCCAUGGAAAGGAUGAUCGGGGUAUGGUCGAAGGUGAUUCGAGGGAGAGCUUCGACCUUACAGUGCGGAAAGGAUAGAUCCUAUUCCGUAGAUAUAAGAAAUUUGUCGAGCUUGGCCAUGGAAGGGCAAUGCUACAUAUUCCACCAUGUGAAGCAUUGGUUGGAGAGGGGUAGGUCAAUAACCGCUAAGUUGCGGAUAAGGUCAGAGAACAUGGUCAUGGCUUUAAUGCUCCAAGGGUUUUCUUUUCUUUCAGAUUGAUUUUUGGUGAAGUUAAAGCCUCCGCAGAUGACCCAAUUGUUAAGGCAGGUCCCCAUUUGGAGAGAGGAGUUCGGAGCAGAAGUUUUCUUUUCUAUCCCAAGUGGGAGGCCUAUAUAUGUUCGAGAGGUAAAAAGUCUUCCCAUUUGCAAGGUGGGUUAGAUUAAGGGUGAGCGAGUGCUUAUGCAUUAGAGCCUCGUUGCAAGAGAAGAAUUUAGAGCUCCAGCACGUGAUUAAACCCCCUGAGGCCCCGUUUGCCGGAAUAAAAUGGCAUCUGUUGAAGUUAGAGCCACAGCAAGAGCGAAGGAAGAAACGAGACACUGAAUCCACUUUAGAUUCUUGGAGGUAGACUACCGAAGAAAAUAGAUUAGACACCACAGACUUAACACAACGACGCUUAGCCGGGUCAUUAAGACCGCGAACAUUCCAACUUAAGAUUCUAAACAUCAGAAAAUAGAAACCCAAAGAGACAGUACUGACGCAAAAGACACUCGACUCGUAGGCCACCUACGCUUCCGCGCACAAGAGCUUGCAGAACUCUAAGCAUCGGCAUCAGAAAGCUUCACCCCGAAUAAAUGGCCCUUCGCCUUGAUUUUCUUGCUGGUCCAUUUGCGUGCAGAAGUCUCGGAGCAGGUCGUCUCACCCUCGAGCUAGAGAGCUUUCCUGCGCAUCGCCCUACAAAGCAUCGUUGUUGUCGUCCGCUUGUGGACCCGGGUGCUUGACUGAGGCCGGUCCGCCGGAGCGCAGGCAGAGGCAGGCGAGUCCCUGGCUCUAGGAAUCGGACUGAUUGACCGGCUCAACGAAGAGCAGGCCGCUAGGGUUCGGCCCGAGAAGAACAAUGCGAGGGUGUGGGCCCCCAUCACUGCUUAUGGAUGGCCUGAACUCUGGAUGGACAAAAGGACCGCCACCAGGUGACCCAAGCCCGAUGAAGCUUGAGAAGAGUAGGCCACUUCCCUUGGGUGGCCCAAGCCCGCGACGGCUUGGAUGGAUCUGUCUGCCUCCGAAGCCAAGAGAGAAGAGGUCGGACCCACAGCCCGAAAAGCCUAUAUCAGAGACCCAGAAAAGAGAGGUCCAAAGCAGUCUAGAGGGGUUGGAUCCCUUGCUAUCCAAAGGGGUAGGCAGUACAGCUGUAUCCAACCCAGGUGUAGAGAGCGAGGGGACCGAUGCAGAAGAGGUGAAACCCAAAUAGAUGUACUAUCGUUUCUCCGAAAAGCAAAAGAAACCAUCAAAUCUCUUUUUGUCGUCCACAGAGAGGUGCGAAGUCCAAGGCUGGACCUGAGAGCUUCCAAACUCAAGUAAGAAUGGAUUAAAUGCCAAAGAUGGGCCCGUGGUCACAGGGAGCACAAAAGAGGUAAGGCCGGCUGACAAUCUAGUGCAUCGGCCAUCCGAGGCGUCAGUUAGCAUGGAAAAGGUAAGGCUAACGGGAGGGAGAUUUGAAAUCGGGUAGCUUUCCGAGCGACCAGCUGCAUUGCCGUCAGCCGGAGAAAUGGAGGGAGGGGGCGACUGCUGUCUGAACGGUUGACGCGGCGGAGAAGCACUUACCGGGGCGGGUGGGUUUAGACGAGAGAAGCAUCCCUCCGGGUAAGUAGUCCGUCUUCUGUCGUGGGUUUCAGACGAAUUUCAGGAAGCACCGGAAUUGGAUAAGCCACCAGCCGAAGAGUGCCUCCCUCUAGCAGAUCCGGCUGAACGACGAUCUUCUACUUGCGGUCUCGUAGCGAUGGUCGUGCUAGUCUGAUCGCUCGUUAGGAGGAGGGUUGCCGCAGCCGUUGUCCGCAUCGCGGGACCACCUUUCCAACUGGAUGAGCACCGUGAGUGAAAUAUCCCCGAAGGUAAUCUCCAGAUUCUCCAAAAUGUCGGAAAGAUGGUUGAUAGUGAUAAGGCACCGGUAGCCGGACAGGCCGGCCAUACGGCUGCUGAACUCGUCUGCCCUGAUGAACCGGCCGAAGCCACCAAUAAGAGCCGCUACGGUUCAAGAAGACCAACACUCGUAGGGCAAACUUACUAGCCUGAUCCAGACUUUGUAGGAUAAAGGAGGCCUGCGGGCAUCGUUGUAAGGGUUCCAAGGGAAGCAGUAUAAUCUAAGCUCCCCCAAACUGAGAGAUUCCCUGGAGAGGAGGUGUUCGCUCGAGACCCAGUCAGGCAAGAAGACGACGAAGUCUCGUUCGCUAUAGCGGGCGACGUAGAAGUCUGUAGGGUACCCUCUGAAACGGUUUGCAAGCCCGUUGGCGAUGGUAUCUUGGGGGAAGUGGCCGAGGUUACCAAGGGGGCCCAAAUUGUCUAUACUCUAGCCCGUUGGCGAUGGUAUCUUUUUUUUAAAAAAAAUAAUACAAAUUUAUUUAUUUUUUUAAAAAACUAAAUAUUUACUUUAGUAUAAUUAUUUUUAUAUUUUUUUAUUAUUUUAAUUAAAAUAUUAAUUUUAAAUGAAAAUAUUUGAUAUUUAUAUUUUUAAUUUUUUUAAAAAAAUUUAAAAAUAAAUAUUUUAUUAGGCCGAUCCGAAGCACGGCUCGGCCCAGCACGGCCCAUGCCUUCCGGGCCGAAGGGCCGUGCCGGGCUAGAGGAUAGACAAUUUGGGCCCAGCACGACCCGGCCCGAAAUUAAAUCCAGGCUGGGUCGGGCUAGCCCGAGCUCGUUUCGGCCUGAAAAAUAUGGGCCGUGCUGGCCCGGCACGGUCGACAUUAUACCGCUAUCAGUGUCCAUGUAACUCAGUUUUUGCUAUUAUAGUGGUCAUAGAUAAUGUUGAAAACAAAUUCGAUCACUGGGGAAAAAGAUCGGCUUCACCAACUUGUAACGGAUCAUAUUUAUUAAGUUGAAGUAUUAAUUAAAGUCAUGUUUUUAAGACCAUUCAUUGAAUAUAAAAUGUUGAGAGUUCAAGCUUGUAAAGAAAAUGGUGGUUUUAUAUUAUUUCAUGAGUUCUUUUGGAUACUUCUAAUAUCUCUAAGCACUUUGUGUUAUCAAAUUUUUCACCAAUAAAUUUAUUUUUUUGAUCAUUUUCAUCCGUUAUAUUAUACUCUUCAGCCAAUCACCACUCAAUCCUAUGGGAUUAUUAUUAUUCUAACCACACAUCGAUCCUUUUAUCCAAUGGCAGAAAAUCUAAUAGUAUUGAGCACUUUGUACGUUUAGCCAAACAUCAUUAUAAUUUUCUAUUUCUAUCGGAUUGCUCGGAAUCUUAAAAAAUGGCGCGAAUCAAACGCCCCUUAAGUUAAGAUUUAGAAAAGGUAUUUUGACUUUUUUUAAUUUUGAUAAAAAUUUACUUCGCAUUUAAUCCAAGAUGACUUAUGGUACUAACAACAGAGGAAUAUACGAUGAGUAUAUUCGAAACAAAAAAAAAAAGUAAAAAUAUAUAAAAUAUUUCAUAAAUUUUGACAGAUAUAUAAAUAAUUAUUUCUCUCUCUCUCUUCUUGCUCUGCACGAAAUGCUUUUCUUCGUUUCCUAGGGCUUUGAAAUUCCUAGUAGAGAGUUUCUUUCUAUAACUGGAUAAGCCCUUUCGGUUAUAGCAAAUUAAAGAGGUUUUUAGAGCUGCAGAAUAACGGCAGUGAGCCGAAAAACGGAAGAAGACUUUUCCUUCCUAGUUUUGGAACGAUGGGGUGCUCUUCUUGGCUGGCUAGUUGCUCUAAACCUUCUCUCUCUUUCUCGAUUCGAUACAAAGAGUAGGUCUUAUGUGCUAUUAGGAGCGCGAAAACCUCCGUACUUCUAAGUCGUUUUCGAUGAUGGAGCUUCCGAAUCAACGAUCGGCUCUGUUAGACUUAAUCUGGCGUAUUUAAAAUAUCUUGAAAGUAAAUUUGUGAUUUUUCGAUAUUAUUUACCUACCUAUCGAAAUGGUUCAAAAUCAACGGCUGAAAAUAAAAAUCUUACGAAAAGUGGUGAUAUAGUAUUAAAAUUUUCAAUCAGAGAUAUUGAUCUUGCAGUAAAUAGUACAAAAAAUUUUCUAUCAAAAUUUCAUCUGAUUUGAAUAUUUCUACACCGUUAAACUUGCAAACGAUAUACAUCAAUUACUAAAAAUUGUUGAUUUUGAACCCUUUCGAUCGUUAAGUAAAUGAUAUCGAAAAAUCGCAAAAUUUAUUUCUAAAUACUUCAAAUACGCUAAAUCAAUUUUAGCGGAGCCGAUCGCCGAUUCGAAAGCUCCAUUACCGAAAACAGCUUAGAAGAACGAAGGCCUCCGUGCUCCUAAUAGCACACAUAACCUACUCGAAUAUAGAUAUUAUUAAUCAGAUAAGGAGGUUAUAAAUUGGAAUCUUGUCUUAUUCCUGGUUUUAUUUAACUUUCUUCCAUUUAAUUCAGAUAAAUGAUAUUUUGUGCUUAUCAAAAUAUGUCGAGACCAGAUGUGCUGAGGUUGUGACAUAUAUACCACUUUUGUCGAGCGUUGAUAAAAUAUAUUCCGAUGAUUUAAAGUGUCGGAACCUUCUAAAAUUUUGACACUUUAAAAAUGUUGAAAAAUUAAAAGUAAUAGUAAAAUUUAUCAUUAGACGGUUCAUAUGAUGACAGUCUUUGAAGCGUUGGACCUAGUUUUAUUUAACUUUCUCCCAUUUAAGUCGAAUCAUGUUUUGUACUUAUCAAAAUAUAUCGAGACCAGAUGUGCGAGAGACCAUCCAGUAUGUACCGAUGCCUAUGAAAAGUGUUGAUAAAAUAUAUUCCGAUGAUUUAAAGCUUUAGGAUUUUUUUAAAUUCUGACGCUUUAAAGUGUUGAAAAAUUAAAAAUAGUUGUAAAAUUAUGGUGACGUUUUUUUGAAGUGUUAGUAAUGGCUAUAUUAUAGAGAGGAUUGGAAAUACUUGACUCGAGAGUAGUCGAAAAACCUAUCCAUAUAAUGCUUUUUUUUUUUUUUUUUUUUUUUUUGUAGUGGAUAUAAAAAAGACGUAUAGAUGAAGGUUUGAGUUAUUUUUCUAAAAAGGUGUGAAUGUUUGAUGUUUUAUAAAUAGAAAAGGAUAAUAUUUGACAUAUCCUUCAAAACUUCAAAAAAUAUUUUAUUUAUUUUUGAAUAACCAAAAUAUUCUUAUUGAUUGUAAAAAAUUUCUUCAAAUGUACCCUUCUCUCUAAGGUUUUACUAAUGGGAUUGAAUUAAGGUAUUUAAUUUCAAUAUUUUAAAAUUUUUGAAUAGUAAUAACAGGUGUGUAAUUAAGUAAAAUCCACACAGAUGAUAUAUAUCGAACCUAGCAGGACACACUACAAUUAAGAGUCAAAAAAUAAAACUGAGAUGGUGUGUUAACAAAAUUGAGAUUGUGUGUAUGAUUUAAUUAACCAUGUACGUCGACUGUGACUAUAAUAUCAUGGCAAUGGUUUCUCUAUAUAAAAAAAUAAUAAUAAUUUAGUACCAAUUAAUAUUCCAAAGUAAUUAAAAGCUAAUUUAAAAUUAAGCAAUUUUUCUGAUACUAGCUAGAUUAACAAAAACAAUUAAUGGCAUCUGAUGAAUGGUGGAAAUAUUGGUAGAGUACGUGGUGCUACGACUAUUAAUAGAUCAUUGCUUACAGAUAGAUUCAGCGAAUCAAAUUUAUCUAAUCUGCAGAUCAUAGUAAAAAUAGCGCUGUUAAUAUCGUUACUUGCUUAAAGUAUACAAAGGGCCAAGUGAAACAAGCACUAAUUGGUGACGUAAUUGAUGUAUGCACUACCCCUUACCUCUGGAAACUAAAAAUCCCCUUAAGAGUUAAAGUUUUCUUGUGGCUUGCUGGACGCAACAAAAUCUUGACAGCCGACAAUUUAUCUAAGAGGGGCUGGCAAGGCCCCUCAAUCUGUGUUUUUUGCUAUGCUGACGACGAAACUCUUGAGCACAUCCUCUUCUCCUGCAAUUAUGCGACGAUGGUGUGGAACUACCUCCUAAAAGAUAUUCCAAAUACUCACAAAUUGGUGACGGAUCUCCCAAGUAACUUACCAACCAGGUGGAAUCGAGCAAGACAGUCACUGAAGGGGCUUUUAAAAAGAAACUUUGAUAUCUGUUUGGCAGCGGCGUGUUGGGAAUUAUGGAAUCAGAGAAACUGACGAAUCUUCAACGGCCGCCUCAUCCGCUGUGAGGAGACUGCAAAUAGGGUCAUUAAUACGGUAAAGCUUUGGUUAUCUGUGGUGGGAAGCUAGUAGGAGUUGAUUAUAUUAGCCAUCUUCAUUUUGUUUAAUUUUUUUCUUUCCUAUUAUGUUGCUCUUAGUCUCUGUUUUCUUGGACUUUAACUACUGACCCUCGGCAGUGGUCCUUUGUAUUGUUCUCACAAAUAGGGAACAUCCCUGUUUCCUCAAAAAAAAAAGAAACAAGCACUAAUUAAUAAGGCUCUAUCAUAAUGAAGUCCAAUUAAACAUGCUUGAGUUACUUUAAUGUGUUCACAUUUUACUUAAACACACAUAGUAAGCCAAAGUAUCAACUUACAUUUGCUUUAAGACAAUUUAAUGCACUCCCCAUUUAUUACUGAAAAGAAAAAGUUCACGAAAGGAGAAACAACAACCUGUUGAAAAUCAAUAGGCUCAGUGUAUUCUCAAUGAAUCAGUUUAAUAGCAAAUCUCUUUUAAGAACUAUUUAAACUCACUCCUUGCACAUAAAUUUCCUUAGAAAGAUUUAAAAAAAAAAAAAAAAAACUUGUGCAACAUUGAUCAACUUAUUAUACAUGGGUUCUCACUUUUUUGUAUGUGUAGUUCUCUCAUGUUCAUGGCUUUUAUCUUUAGCAAUUCCCUCGGCGGCGUCGACGCAAGGUGUUCUACUACAUGUAGAGUACAACCAGGUGAUAAAACAAUGCUCUUUGUGACUUGCUAAUAAACUACAUGUGGUAAUUCCUUUCAUAUUUUCAUUUAGUGACUGAUGCUAUGAUUUUAUGUACACAAAUAACUGUGUUUUCAGGUGAUUAUCAGCAACGACAUCAUCGAACUAACCAUAUCGAAGCCCGAGGGUCGCAUUACGGGAAUUCGGUACAAUGGUAUUGAUAAUUUGUUGCAGUAUUCAUCUAACCAAAGCAAUUUAGGCGGGUACGUAGUUUCAUAAACACCUACUGAUACAGUACAAAAAAAAAAGAGAAACAAAAAAAGAGAAAAAAAAAAACUGUUGAACUUUGUAGGAUAUGCAUGGUUUGUGUAAAAUUAAUUCAAUCCUAUGCGUGGCUUUUAGGUAUUGGGAUCUUGUAUGGAACUUUCCUGGUUCUGGACAAAAAAGAGGAGUUUUCGCGAUGUGAGUUUGUAAUUUCUUUCUUAAAUGCAUUUCCUCGCGAUCUUACCUUUUUUUCGUUAAGUUUCUGAGUACAAAUAUCUGUAUUAGCUAGAAUUUUAAAAGUUAGCACAAUGUUUUGCACAAAUUUAACAAAAGGGUAAGAUUGCGACGAAAUAAAAAAAACCCUAUAACAAUUGAAUUGAGGAGGAUCUAAUUGAAACUGCACUAUAAUGUUAAGUGUUAGUACAUGCAUGCAAAAACUGCUUAUUCUGAAAAAGGGGCAGAGAUAUAUAUGUUAUGCAGAUUGGAAGGUGCAGAAUUUAAGGUCAUAGUGCAGAAGGAGCAUCAGGUGGAGGUUUCUUUCAGCAGAACAUGGAAUCCGUCGCUACGUAACGGUGUCCGAUUGAAUGUCGAUAUAAGGUACGCAAUCGAAAACCUAAUAUAAAAAAGAAUGAUUUUCAAUCAGUGUGUACAAUAACUCGAAGAUUUGAUCAGGUAUAUAGUGCUUCUCGGUAGCUCAGGGUUUUACAGCUAUGCGAUCUUCGAGCAUAAGAGAGGCUGGCCCGGUUUAGACCUUUCGGAGACUCGAAUCGCCUUCAAGCUUCGCGAAGACAAGUAAGAACUUUUCUUUUUCUUCUUCUUCCUUAUUCUCUUAGCUGCAUUGUGCCAGAUCGUUGGCGCUAACCUUUAAUCCUGAAAGCUCGAACUGUUAGAAAAUUAUAACUAAUUCACUUAAAGUUAUAGAUAUAGUGCCCACAGAUUUCAAUUGUGACUCGACUCAUUCAGCCACACGCCACUUCGAGCAUGACUCAGCCCAAUCUGACCUCCUGCCAUAGGAUAGGAUGUUGGCCCUUUAAGCCAGCACAUUGUUGUAUUAUGAUGAACCUAAUUGAAUUUGGUGAUUUAUCGGCUUGUCAGGUUCCGAUACAUGGCGGUAGCUGACGACAGAAGAAGAAAAAUGCCGAGAGCUGAGGAUCGGCAGUUCCCACGAGCGGUGACAUUGGCGUACAAGGAAGCGGUUCGAAUCGUGAACCCGCUCGAGCCCGAGUUCAAGGGCGAGGUAAAAUCCAACUCGAUGAUCAGCAAAAUCAAAACUUUAAUUCUGCGUAAGUAAAUAAACUCUAUUGAUACUGAGGCUUAUGAUCAGGUGGAUGAUAAGUACCAGUACACGGUUGCUAACAAGGACAGUAGGGUGCACGGAUGGAUCUGCUCUGAUCCACCAACUGGUUUCUGGGUCAUCACACCCAGCAACGAAUUCCGCGCCGGUGGGCCCCUUAGGCAGGAACUCACCUCUCAUGUCGGUCCGACCUCUUUGGCGGUGAGCUGCGCUUUUUGUUUCGGUAAAAAACAAAACAUACAAAACUUACCUGAAUUAUAAAUUAUUUUGAGUCGGCUAUUCAAUCUUUUUGAAAUUUUGAUUUUGCUAUCCAACCUUUCAAUUCGUUUGAUUUGACUUCAAAACUAACUACUUAUUUUAAUGAAUAAAGAGUUGAGAAAAUUGCAUAAAAAAUAUACAGGUUAAAUUUGUAAAAAUAAACAACAUAUUCAAAUUUUGAAGUCAAAGUGAUGUUGACUGACUCAAAUCAAACAAAUUGUAAGAUUUGAUAAUAAAAUCAAAAUUUUGAAAAGCUGGAUAGCCGAUUCAAAUAAUACAUUGUUCAGAUAAGUUCUGUACGUUUAUUGUCAUUAUUUUUCUUAAGCAAGUUAAGGUAUAUUAACAUCCGACUGAUGUGCUUAAUAGAUUGAAGGGUACGUAAAAUUGAUAGAUGAGAUAUGAGAUAAAAAUUUAAUUGGCUAAAUGUUACAAGUGGCAGUUGAACCCAUGGCUCGGCAAAAUGAAAGGAAUUUAAAAUUUGACUCUUAUACCAUAUUGUCCAAAAAUAUCUAUCGAUUAUAGCAGGAAACGAGCUCAGAAAUAUAUAUUAACAGUUACUACUAGUCAUUUGAAAGUAUGUAAUUUAUUCAUCGAUGAUGCGUACGACAUAUACAGAUUUUUCUGAGCGAUCACUAUACGGGAAGGAGCGCGCAUUUCCGACUGGAGGACGGCGAGCACUGGAAGAAAGUUUUAGGCCCCAUUUUCAUCUACUUGAAUUCUGCUGCAAACCAAAGAGAUGUUGCACUCCACCUCUGGGAGAAUGCAAAAGCCCAGGUAAUAAAUUAGGAUCCAAAUUCAAAUAAUUAGUAAUCCAUUAAUAAAAAUAUACUAGUUUGUGACAUCUCAAUAGUACCACAUCGAACGUUAGAUCUAAACGAGAGAAGUAUGUGACAUUCUAAUAGACCCUCAUCGAAUAAUAUGAAAGAGUGUGAUAGUUUUAUAAGUAAUGGACACACUAGUAAUAAUAAUUGAGUUUAAGCAUUUGGGGCCGGUACGUGAUUUGGACCCAACGAGUUUUUAUUGCUAACAGGUCGGAUCGUCUCAAGUUCUUAAUAAUUUUUCAAUCUAAACUGAUUGAUAAGAGUUUGGUAACAAACAAACUUAGCCAUUCCAAAUGUAUAAUAUGCAGUAUUUUUGAAAUAUUACAAAUCUAAAAGCAAAUGGCCCCCCUAGGACUAUUGGAGUAGGAUCUUUUAAAUCGACUUUUCGAAGCACAUGGACAUUCAAAUUGACAAUCGGUCUUAUUAAAUAUGAUCUACAUUAUUAGAAUUACUUAGAUUUUCGAAUUUCACUACUUUUAAUAUUAUUUUUUUAGUAUUGAAAGGUUUCAAAACUAACAAAUUUUAUGGUCAAUGCGAUGUAUUUAAAUUUAACAGUGUAGAAUAAUUCAACAGAGAAAUUUUGAUAGAAAUUUUUUUUCCGCUAUCUAGAAUACGAUUAAUUUGUUUCAUUUGAAAUUUAAGUUCUAGUAUCAUCUUUUUUUUAUAAUAUUUUUAUUUUAGCCGUUUAUUUUGAACCCACUUAUUUUCCAAAUAAAUAAUGUCAUAAAACAGUGAAUUUAAAAAUAUUUUUAAUAGAUUCAAUCAUAUCUAAUAGAGCCGAUCAUCGAAUUCAUAAUUUCAUAAACACUCUGGCUAAGCUCUUAUAAAUUGUACCAUUUCCAAAAUUAGUAAGGUCUCAUUUGGCACCAUCACUCUCUUUUUAUUCGUUUAAAUAGAAUUUGAAACAGUAUUUGGAUCUCUUGCAAUUCUUACAUCCAAGCACAUUUUUCAACAUUAAUAAAAAAAAAAAUCAAAAAUUUGGAAGCAGUUUUUUUUUUUUUUUUUUUUUUUUUUUUUUUUUUUUUUUUUUUUUUUUUUUUUUUUUUUUUUUUCCUGCUUUCAAGAUUGUUUUAAAGAAGUCCUCAUCCAUCACUUGGUAUGGGUAUAUUGUGCAGGCUAAUCGAUUGUCACAACAAAAUAAAAAUUCCUCCAUAGAUAUAUCAAAUUAUAUAGAAUUAGUAUUUCAAAAUACAAAAAAGGCAACGACGUCAAACAAGGCCUUAGUUAGCUUGUGGUGUUGUUAAUCACUCUUGCUAAUUUUCUUUCUCUUAUAUUUUCAGAUGCAAAUUGAGACAAAGAGAUGGCCCUAUGGUUUUCCUGCAUCAUUGGACUUUCCAAAAUUGAACCAAAGAGGCUUGGUUUUUGGCAAACUAAUGGUUCGAGAUAGGUACACUUUUUAAUUCAACUUCAAAGAAAGAAAAAAAAAAAAAAAAAAACAGUAAACUUUCUUAAAGGCAUUUUUAUAGUUUCACAUGAUGAUCAUAAAUUAUUACUCUUAAGAGAAUACAGCCCUUCGUACUCAUAAGUUAUUUUUGAUGAUGGAGCUUCUGAAUUUACGAUCUAGUUCGUUAAAUAUGAUCUAGAGUAUUUGCAACUUCUAGAAAAUAAAUUUCGUAAUUUUUCGAAAUCAUAAUAAAGUCCAUCAAGCGGGAAUAAAAUGAACGGUCAAAAUCGAACGGCAUCCUAAACUGAAUAAUCAGAUCCUUUAAUUUAAUAUCGGAGUUAUUGAUCUUUAUUUAGGUAGUGAAUAUAAUUUUCUAUCAAAAUUUCAACCUAUUCCAAUUCUUUUUAUAUGGUUAAACUAGCAAGUAUUUCAUGCCGGCCGUUAAAAAUUGUCAAUUUUGUAACCUUUUGAUCGUAAGAUAAAUGAUGUCGAAAAAUUAUAAAAUUUGAUUUUUAGAAGUUUUAAAUGCUUUAAAUAAUGUUUAACAGUAUGGAUCGUUGAUUCAGAAACUCUAUCAUCGAAAACGACUUAUGAGUAUGAAGAUAAUCGUACUCAUAAGAAUAUAGUAGCCAGACUCUCUCUCUCUCUCUCUCUAUAUAUAGAGAAAGAGAAUCUGACUACAAUGCUAUUGAUAGCAACACUUGGUGCUAUCAAGUUUUCUACCAUUAGAUUAAUUUUAGGGAACCACUAUCAUCCUAAUCGUACAUUGCUUCAUUCAAAGGCCAAAAACUUAAUGGCACCAAUAACAUAGUGCUAAAAACUCCAAAAUAAACACACAUAUACACGCGCAAGCGCGCGCGCGCGCGCGCACACACACACACACACAUAUAUAUAUAUAUAUAUAUAUAUAUAUAGAGUAGGGCUAGAAUACUUUUACAAGUAUCACCCAAGUGAUACUUGUGUGUUUUUAGCCAUUAGAUCUACUUUUUGAUUACUAAUAGUUCUUGGAUCAAACACUAUUCCACCUACCACCACCUACCACCAUCAUCUCAACCUCACAUCUCUCCAUCCAAGGGUUAAAAACACACAAGUAUCACUUGGGUGAUAUUUUUACAAGUAUUCUAGCUCUACUCUAUAUAUAUAUAUAUAUAUAUAUAUAUAUACAAUUUCUUCACUAGAAAAGGAGCACACAAAAGUUUAUUGGGUUAAAUAUUUAGGCACAGAUGUUUCAAAACAUUCACUGUUUAUCAGUUUGUCCACUUUCAAAAGUAACGUACCUGAGAGUUCGGCUACUAUACUCUUAUGAGUACGAUCACCUUCGUACUCAUAAGUCGUUUUCAAUGAUAGAGUUUCCGAAUCGACAAUCUAUAUCGUUAAACAUUAUCUAAAACAUUUAAAACUUCUAGAAAUCAAAUUUUAUAAUUUUUUUGACAUCAUUUACCUUACGAUCAAAAGAUCACAAAAUUGACAAUUUUUAACGGCCGGUAUGGAAUGCUUGGUAGUUUAACGGUGUAAAUAAUCGGAAUAUGUUGAAAUUUUUAUAGAAAAUUUUAUUCAUUACUUAGAUAAAGAUCAAUAACUCUGAUUUUAAAUUGAAUGAUCCGAUCGUCUAUUUUUAGGACGUCGUUCGAUUUUGACCGUUCAUUUUAUACCCACUUGAUGGACUUUAUUAUGAUUUUGAAAAAUUACGAAAUUUAUUUUCUAGAAGUUUGAAAUACCCUAGAUCAUAUUUAACGGAAUGGAUUGUCGAUUCGGAAGCUCCAUCAUCGAAAACAACUUAUGAAUAUAAAGAACUCUAUACUCAUAAGAGUAUAGUAGCCCUACUCCUUACAUGAUGUAAAUAAGACUUAAUUACACCAACCACACUUUGCCUUACGGGUUUUUUUUUUUUUUUUCCUAUAUUGUAUUAUUUUUUAUCAAAGACACCACUCAAUUAUUCUGUUUUUCAAUUCUUUAAACUAUAAGCAAUAAACCUAUCAAUUUGGAUGAAAAAUACUAAAAAAUACUGAUCGAAAGUGAUACAACAUGUAUUUAGCUCAUUUUAAUAUGAAAAACAACAGAGUACAUAUAGAUAAAAAAAAUAGUUAAAAGUAACUUGAUAGAAGAUUUUAGCGAGUUAUCAUAAAAAUUUAUUUUAUAUUUUUUCUACUAUUUAGCCUGCGCAUUUUUAAUGAAUUUGUUGGAUUCUUUUCUAAAUUUAUAGGUUUAUUAACGGUCAUAUAGAGUUUAGCGAGAAAAAGAAAUAGUUGCAUAAUAUUUAUGAGAAAAGAAUAGUCCAAGAUAGAAAAGAAAAAAAAUAAUCUAAAAUAUUGUGUGGAGAUUGAUAAAAUAUAUUAUACGAUGGUGUCUUUCAAAAACAAAAAAAAAAAAAGUAACUAAUGUAGCAGAUGAAAAUAAGAGUAAAGUACAUUGUAGUAGGAUGUAUUAACCCUAUAAUAACUUCUUAUCCAUGUAAGCAUUUGUUCAUGCAAAUUUAAAAAAGAUUAAUUACUAAGCAAAUGUGGUGCUUAAUUAAUGUUUCAGAUGCAUUAGCAAAUAUGAUAUACAUGCAGAAGGGGCAUAUAUUGGCUUGGCACUACCAGGAGAACCAGGAUCAUGGCAAAGAGAAAGAAAGGUAAAAGAAAAAAAAACAACAACAACUAUGCAGUUUCAAUUUUACACUUUAAUCCUCAAAAAUAAAGAAAAAUAUGUUUGUGCAAAACUAAUCUGAACUAUAUCGUAUUUCUGAAGUAUAUAAAAAGAACCGUAAAAAACUUCGAUUUUACUACCUGAUCUUAUAGUGUUUUUGAAAUAAAAACCUAAAUUUUAAAAGUUUUGAUUUUUUUACUAUCCUAUCUUUCUAAUAUUUGUAACAUUUCGACGGACUAUCUUAUAAGAAGCAUUACAUCUAUUUUAGCGCACAAGGAAGUAAAAUCAAAACUUUUAAAGUUUUAAGUAUCUUAUUUAAAAACCCUAAAAGGGGUUGUAAGUAGAGAGGAAAAAAAAAAAAACACAAAGACCGCCCGAACUUCAGCUCUUUUGCUAAAAGGUGCUAGUUUUCAGCUUUAAAAAAUUAGACCCCUAAUCUCCAUCAAAUAGUUUAAUAAGCUCCGUCUCUUCAAUCAAAAUCACUAAUACAUACAUAGCCGUUUUAGUUGCAUGUCGUGCACACAAUCUUAUAAGAUUUGGAAAUAUAAAAUAUUUUUGAAGCUUAUAUAAGAUUGUAUGCGAACAAAACAACGGUGCAAUUAGUAAGUUUGGUUGAAGAGAGUGGAUUAUUGAACUAUUUAAUAAAGUUUAUGGUCCAAUUGCGAAAUCAGAAGUUUGGGCAUCUGUUUGAAAAUUAGUCAAAGUUCAGGGUGUCUUUGUUCAUUUUUUUUCUUUAAAAUUUCAUAUAGUCCAGGAAGGAAAGGCCUAUACAAUUUUACAGAAAAAAAACAACCUUAUAUUUUAUUAUAUUUACAGGGAUAUCAGUUUUGGACCAGAAGUAAUCCCAGAGGUGAUUUUGUUAUCAAGAACAUUCGACCCGGACGCUACAAUCUUUACGCAUGGGUCCCUGGAUUUAUUGGUGAUUUCAUGCACAAGUCCACAAUAACUGUUAAUCCAGGUUAAUUUCUAUAGUUUCAUUCUGAUCCUUAAACUUUUUUAAGUUCAAAUAUUCAAAAUUCUGAACUUUUAGAACAGUAUCAUUUUAGUCCUUGCCUUGUUUGCACCUAGUUCAUUUGUAUGUUCAUAAACUACGAAUCUAUUGAUUCUUACUCCAACCAUCUUAAUUUAGAUUUUCAAUUUAAUGAUUUAAUUUCUAAAAAAAUAAAAAAAGACUAUAAUUCAAUAGACAAUAAUUUUUUUUUUUUAAUUAAUUUCCAUGAACAAGAAUAAGACUGAAGUGAAAUAAUUUUAAGAGUUUAGAGUCUCAAAGAUCAAUUAUUUAUAAAGCUCAGGAACUAGUUGUGCGACUUUACGCAUUAAAUAAGAAAACCUCUGACACUGGCUUAACCAACUGUCCUUAGAGCAAGUAGUAAAAGACUUGAUAGUUGGUACCCAAGGUCCCAAGUUAGUAACCUAGUUACUUUAUAUUUUUAGUUAAGUUUAUUUGAAAAGAAAUAAGCGAAGGGGUAGCAUGCUACCUUUCUCUUUCAAAAAAAAUUAUGACACGGUUGACACUUUGAUUUUUAAACUUCAAUUUGUUAUAAUUUUUUUGCGCAAAAUUUUAAAAUUACUGUAAUCAAAUCUUAUAGCUUAGUUUGGUUGACUAACUUUUAAUAUAUCUCCAACGUAAAAAUAAUAUAACAAUAUUGUAAUUAAUGAUGCGCCAAUAAUUUAAAAUGUUACAUUACUUUUAUAUCAGCGAUAUAUGCGUCAAUAUUUAUUUAACUAAAUUGGAUUGUGGGACCUGAUUGUAAAAAUUCUUAAAUUCGAGUAAAAGAUUAAUUAUAACAAUUAUUAAAGUUUCAGGACUAAAGUGUUGCCCGGCUUAUAAUUUGAGGACUAUGUAUAUGUACAUGCAAUUUGCCCUUUAUUUUUUUUUGAUAAUAAUAAUUAGGUGGAAGCAUCAAACUCGGAACGCUCGUAUUUGAACCUCCGAGAAGUGGGCCCACUCUGUGGGAAAUCGGCGUUCCGGACCGUUCGGCCGCCGAGUUCUUCGUUCCGGAUCCAAGGCCAGAAUACGUCAACAGGCUUUUCAUCAACCAUCCGGAAAAGUAAGUUCACAACUAGAGACCUUGCUAUUAAAGCAUAUUAUAAUCAAGUUGUUUAUAAAUUAGUGGUGUUUUACUUUUACCCCCAUAGUUUUAAUUUCGUUGGCGUUUUUUUUCGAGUGUUUUAAAUCAAUUUCAAAUUUGCCAGUUAGAGCGGUCUGACUAUGAUCCAACGUCUAGAGCUGUUCAAUUCAACUUAUAAGACUAGUUGACUUAACUAAAUAUAAGGGAUCUAAUAAUAAUCUUAACUAAAUAUAAGGUAUAUAUCAGGUUCUCUAAUAAUAAUAACUGGGUUUAAUCAUACUGCAAUAGCCAAUAGUCCCACAUCGAUAUAAGGAAUUAGGACCUUGUAAUAAUAACCGAAUUUUAACAUUUUGGGCUAGUAGUUUGGGACCUGCGAGUUAUCUUUACAAGUGGUUGGUACUGUUACAUUUGGAAACCAGACGAAAGUGGUUUGAGUCCAACGAGUUAUUAAUUUUUACUAGUGGUUCAGUUGGUUAUACUUGGUAUCAGAGUCGAAUACAUGCUGAAAGUGAUUUUGGCCAAACGAGUUAUUAUGCUAAUGGCUCGGACCUGUUACCUUUGGUAUAUAUCAUAGCUGAGUAUAUAUAUACUAGCUCAAAGUGUGAAAUCUAAGUGCUAUUCGGGAUAAAAAUACUACACCACAUCUCGAGAUAACUCUUGUUUAUGUGUGUGAUUGAGGCCCUAGUAUAUAAUAAUAAUAAUUAAUCUAAAGUAUUUUGGGCUGAUAAUUUAGGAUCUAUGAGUUAUUAGUACUAGUGAGUUGGACCGUUACACUAUCCAAUAAGUGAACUCAUGUCGUUCAUUCUAAAUUUUUUCAAACUGGUCAAAUAGAUUAAUAACGCCAUACAUGCGGCCUAAAACAAAUAAAAAACCUUGUACUUUAUAAUCUCUAAAAAACACUAAUCAAGUAUAUUAUAACCAUAUAGGAUACUGAGAUUAAUUAUGAAAUACAUUUCAUUUUGCACAACACAAUUAAAAUUAAUUACUCUAUCAUGUUGACGUCAUUGGUUCAAUCUAGUAACUAAAACCGCUAGUUGAAGCAACCCCAAUGUGAUAAUAUUAAUUUUUAAGUUAGAAUUAAUUUCAUACAGCUCCCUGUAAACAUAUCGAAUAGCAAAUAUAUUCCUACAAAGUUUAAUUUAUUGUAUUUAUUUCUAUAAAAGUUCAGUGAUAUUUAUAUUUUUUCCUCUAAUUUGUUAUCAUUAGAGUAUGGUUUAUUUCUUAAUAGAAAAUAAGUAAAAUAACAUUUUUGUCAUCACAAAUAUGUCCCUCUAAAAGUCUCAACUGUUAGAAUUAUAUAGAAAUGUUCUUUUAUAAAUUUUCAAUGAACAUUUUUUUUCUUUCUACUAUCACAAAUAAUAUCAGAGGAUAAAAAGGUCAAUUUAUUUUAUUUACUAACCAGGAUUAAGUAUUUUAUCUAUGAUUAACUAUAUUUUUAUAACAAAUCCUAAUAGAGAUAUAUUUGAAAACGUUAGAAUGGUUGAACUUUGUACGGAUAUAUCUGCUAUUCGAUAUGUUUACAGAAAGUUGUAUGCAAUUAAUCCUUUUAGUUAUUAUAAGUUUCGGAUUUUGAAACACUUUUUUUUUUACUUUUAUUUGACAGGUAUAGACAGUAUGGUUUAUGGGAGAGGUAUGCGGAUUUGUACCCGAAAGAAGAUCUUGUUUAUAAGGUCGGAGUUAGUGAUUACAAAAGAGAUUGGUUUUUCGCGCACGUUACAAGGUAAUAUACAUGAUUUUUAGGCUCUUUCUCUCUUCACAUAUCGUUAUUUAUCGAUCUCGAGCACAUUUUCGAGUACUUUGUGCUAUUUAAUUUGAAAGAUUUUCUGUGGAUAUAACAAGAUUUAGGUUUGUGGGUUCGAGUGUUUUUAUAACAAUGUUUUGUUGCAUGCAGGAAAGUAGGGAACUCUUUCGAACCAACAACAUGGAGGAUAAAAUUUAGCUUAAACUUUGUCGAAACUAGUAGGACAUAUACAUUGCGUUUGGCCAUCGCAGCUGCACAUUACGCUCGCUUAGAGGUUUGGAUCAUUUCCCUUUCGUUUAGCUUUCGCACGCUUUAGUCGCAUUAUUCACUUUGUUUCUACAUCAAGGUUCGAGUGAACAACCCGAAUGGAGAACCGCAUUUUACGACGGUAGCGUUCGGGGACGGCAACGCGAUUGCGAGGCAUGGAAUACAUGGCCUUCAGUGGAACUUUGAUGUAAGGAUAGAAGGGAGAUUGCUCUAUACGGGCGAGAAUACGAUCUAUCUAACUCAAGCCAAGGGAGGGCAUGUGUUUUAUGGUGUUAUGUACGAUUAUCUUCGAUUGGAAGGACCUUAAAUGUGUGGUUGCAAAAUAUAAACCUAAAAAUUACCAAAUUGCUUGCAAGAUCAUCGAGAAUGUAAUGUUUGCGAUUAUAUUACGCAUGCGAAUAAGUGAAAAAGCCCUAAAUCGGUCCGACUUGCACCAAGAAACUUCAACCCUAAGUCCGGUAAUUACUGAAAACUUCUAAAACAUGAUGUAGAAGGACCAUGCAUCAACCAUCCUUUUUUGCUCGUUGAGAAGCUUAAUUGGCUAGUAAGAUCUCCUCACUUGGAUAUUCUGUUCAUUUUUAUCGUUUAGUUAGUGAAGCUUCAACGCCCCAAGUUAUUAGGCGAGCAUUAAAAGCAAGCUGAGCGCGCGACCAGCUUAAGCUCGAUCUUUUCUGACCCAGAAGGAUCUAGACAGUCGAGUCUGGUUUGGAUCGAGACACAAGUCUGAAGGACAUAUCUAGUCGAUCUUAGGUCCAGAGAUUGUCAUAUUACUGAAAAAUUGUCACACCAAAGCUGCUUAGAUGAUUUCCUCUAAUUCUCCAUAUGAGCUUCUCUGAUGAAAAUUAUUUAUUGGCUGAUAAGGUUAGCCCUAGUUCACAUAAUUAACCAGGUUACAUCUACUAAAACCUUCUAAGUCUUUUUUUUCUCUUCUAUUUUUUUUUUUUUUUUUUUUUUUUUUUUGCAUAUACAUCAUUGCAUUUCUUCUGAUAGUACUGUUUACUGUUUAGAUAACAUAACCCUGAAAUGGAUACCAUCUGUUAGUCCUAACAAAUUAAUUGAUCCAAAUAUUAACAAGUGCAAUUAGCACCUCUAUCCAACAACAGGAAACCUAAUUUGUUCACUAGCUUAUACAACUGUGAAUUAUUAGAUGUUCAACAAUUUGAUGAGAAGUUAGAACUAAUGUUGCUAUCUUAGUUAUAAAAUAUGAAGUGGUUUUAGGAAAUUAUAGAAAAGGAUUACAAAUUGAAAAGCUAAAUACAAAUCUAUCAAAGAUAUAUAUUCUCCUUGAUACCUUCUUAGGAAGGAAGCUUACUAUUUGAAAUUAAGUGUAUAUAUAUAUAUAUAUAUAUAUAUCCAAUUGCAUUUGAGUUUAAUGACAUGUCAUUUUUGUAUCAAUUUUUACAGGUUAAAAACAUUAAUGGCAUGAUAGUCAAUUAAUACGACUUAUUUAAAUUCAUCCUUAUCAAAGUAGAGCUAUAAGCAAUUAUUAUAGUUUCUUCAUUUUCCACCGACAAGGCCACAUUCAUGAGUUAAUACUGGCAAAAAAAAGUCAUACUUAAUUUUUAGCAAAUAACUAGAUUUGUAUUCGUGCAACCAAACCUGAUAAUCUCUAUCCGUACAUGCCAGUAUCCACAGAUUAUUCAUAAAUUUAUGAAUACAGGCACUAGUUUUUUUGACCCAAAAAUUUAUGGGUAAUAAGAGAUAGAUAUAUGUUAAAUUAUGAAUAUUUUUUGAGAUCCACCGAUAACCGUGAGUACCCGCAUAUAUAUAUAUAUAUAUAUAUAUAUAUUAGAAGGCCCGCUUCAGGAAAACUAUCUUUUCUUAAAGGAUCAAUCCAAAACUCCUACCUAAUCUUUUCUUGGAGUUGAAGAAGCAGUCAAAAGAAAGAUUCUAUUAUUAAUCGUAAGAGGCUCCAUUUGAGUUUUUAUUCUAUUGCUAGUAGUAGGGUAAAAGGAUAAAAUAAGGGUAANUCCUAUUCAAUUGGUCAUUAUAAUCCUCUUGUCGUAAUGUAUAGCUAGGUGUUGCACAUAUCAACGUUUACUAAAUUUGCCUACGAAUUUUUCCUUGGAAACAAGUAUUUUGUCGAAUUAGUUCAAGGAAAAGGAUAGGCUUGAUUAUACUAUACUACACUAUAAUUUAUAGAUUUUUUUUUUUGUAUUUUCUUAGUUAUAAUUUGAAAGGGAAUAAUGAGGAUGACAACCGGAAGAGACGAUUAUCGAACUCGAACACGAGCCACGAACACUUCAAGAAAUAAACACGAGCAAAUACUCGUACAUGGGGAAAGCCUCGAGCCACGGGUUCAGCGCUUUCCAAAGAGUAGAUUUGCCCCCACACAAAGUUUGCUUCGGGUUAUGACAAAGAAUUCUCGGGAUAGAACGAGGCUAGAGAUACUCAAGAAGCAAAACUCGGAAUCUCUCACGCUCUUAACUCUGAAAUCUGGAAACUUUUUUAUGAUAUGAAUUUUGACACAAGAGCCUCUAUUUAUAUGUUUUCAAAAGGUACAUCCGAAUCGAAAAGUCAUGUCUCUUUGAACAGACAUGUCCCUACAAAGGAAUCCAUUCGUUUGAACAGACAUGUCCCUAUAAAAGAAUCCAUUCAUUUGAACAGACAUGUCUCUACGAAGGAAUCCAUUCGUUUAACACAUAAAUUUUACCAAGUAAUUUAUCAAAUACACAUCAUUAAAAUUUGCAAUCUAAUUUCUCAACAUGCAUAGGCGAGGGCCAGGGCGAGGGCGUGCGGGGCGAGGCGGGCUGUUUCCGCCUCCGCCUCCACUGCCUUCUUCGGAAAGAGAAAAAAAAGAAUGAGAAAAAAAAAAAGAGUUGAGAGAAAAAAUAAUAAUGGUAUUUUGGUCAGUUUGCUGAAAAUUCGGCCCGAAUUUAUAAAAUCGAAAAAAGUGGCCCACUUUUGCCAAAGCGCAAAAUUAGUGAAUUUUUUAUGCAAAUUGGCCCCCAAAAAAAGAUAUAAAGUAAACAAAAAGCUAAUAAUUUGUAGUGUCCCUAGUAUUCUGUAGCUCGAGGGUUUCAGCAUUUGAGGCUUGUUGACACAUCAGGAGAGUGCCGAGACAAGUCGGAGUCGUUUUGGACAAAUUGGAUGCAAAACGGACUUAGUGUGAUGCGAGAGCAGACUUUUGAUAUUGGAAUCUGUAAAGUGCAAGAUUUCAGUAUUGAGUACCGGUACCAGGGUGAGGAGUACCGGUACCCCAGUGGAAUUCCAGAACUGAUGCUCUCGGGUUGCGCCAAUCUGAUGCCGAGUACCGGUACUGCAUCAGGCUGGUACCGGUAUCCUGUGUGCGAGCUUGCGAGUUGAGAGGCCGAGUAUCGGUAACCAAAUUGGGUACCGGUACUCCAGCUGGAUUUCUGAGUUGGUAAGGAGCCUUUUGGUCAUUUGAGGCAUCGUUAAUCCCAACCUUAUCCCACCUCUUUAUAUAUGUAUGAGAGUCAGAGAAGAGGUAGUGGACGUCGCUUGUAGUAGAGUCGCGGCUCGAGCUCGGGUGGACUUCGACGUUGCGCCGGUGGACCGUGCGAGCGUGUGGGCGUCGUGGUUGCGCUGUUGGAGGCCGGGCGAGCGCGUGGUUUCCUCUCCUUUCGACUUCUCGCCGUAGUUGGACGAGCUCUUUGAGAUGGGUUAAUGUUUACCGAAAUUAUCGGAAUUCCUCCUAAGUUUUAGUAACGUCGACAUGUUCUAUUGGUUUUAUUUUCUUACUAGUACUCAAAUUCAUGGAUUAUAGCAUAAAAUCUGAAUUUGGAGUUAAGUUAGUAACUAUAUUCAUACUGGACUUGGAAUUGACUUAGGAGAAAACUAUUGAACCCUACGCUGUCACUUUUCUGAAAAUUACCAUAUUUAGCUUUAGAAGUUGUGAUUUAUUUGUAACGCCGCUGUUCGUAUGUGGUAGAUAUCCAGGUUAGUGUAGGAUGAGUUUACGCUCGUGCUGGUAUGUCGAACUUAUUUUACAGUAGUGUGUAGACUGUUUCAGACUGUCGGGUGCCGUCGCAGUUGACGGUAGACCCAGAUUUCUGUAUUUUGCAUCAGAUUGUCCCAAGGGUACGUGAGCUUUGGUUGUUAGACCAGUUAGAUCCAUUUGCAUUGAUUACAGCCUAUGAGAGGCUGAUUGAGCUCGAUAGAGAUACGCUUGUAUACUCGGUUGGGUCGCGUCCACGAGUGCCGCUCCGGAGUCUGGCUUUUUACUUUGCAUUUAUGUCGUUGUUGUCUGGUUUGGACUUACUCUCCACCGGCAGCCCUCGGGGUGGUGUUCGGUAUAGGUUCGAUAGGCGAGACGGGUGUAUUCACAGUCCCUAGUGAGAUUGAGUCAGAGAUCGCAUUGCAUUUAUCUACAGAUAGCUAGUCUUGGUUAGCGAUAGUAUAAUGGCAUAUAGCUGUAGGGUUUUCCAGCUUUCUUUACUAUCUCUUGCACACUUUUCUGUAGACUUAGUGGGUGAGCUGUUGAGGUCGGUGACGGUACCCACUAAAGAUUAUUCUAUUUUGCAGUAGUUCUCACACCCAGUUGUUGACCCAUUUUUGCAGAGCCUUCGUCCGCGGCUGCUGCUGUUGCUGAUUCUGACCGCGGGAAGGGAGUUGCGAGUUAGAUCCCUACCAUUCGUGUCGUUGUACUAGAGGAGGACCCUUCGCAGGUAGUUUGGGGUGUUUUUGGUUCAUGUACAUACUUAUAUUGGUUUACUCGCUAGAGCGAGGGUUGGUUGCAUCUCGGAAACUUUGUAUGUAUAGUGAACCUGUUAUUUUAUCUUUAUAUUCAGUUCAGUUUAGCAGCUCUAUACUACUAAUUGUGGUGUUGCUGUGAUUACAUGUGUAGCUAUUGUUUCGUAUACACAGGAAAUCUCUAUGUAUACGGAGGGCGGGUCUGUUGGCGUGCCCGGGGAAACGUAUUAAUCCGGAGCAUGACAUAAUUAUUUAGAGAAGAAUUGUAAAGGAAAAGAAAAGGCAUUCUUUAGCCCUGAGAAAAAGUUGUCUUUUCUUUUCUAUAUAAAGUAGCAUUGUUAUUCCAACAGGGUUACUAUACUAUUAGGAGCACAACAGUCUUUGUGUUCCUAACUUUUUAACCAUCCAUCAAUUUUGAUGGGUGGUUAGGAUGAGAGAGAGAAGAGAAAUUGGUAAGAAAUUAAAUGUCUCAUUUUUUCUACUUUUUAAAUCUCUCUUUAAUUUUUCUUUUCUCUCGUCCUAACCGCCUAGCAAAAUUGAUGAAUGAUUAGGAGGUUAGGAGCACAAGAAUUGUUAUACUUCUAAUAGCACAAUAGCCCUAAUAGUGUAGAUCAAAUCUAACGAAGCCGAUCGUCGAUUUAAAAGUCGCAUUAUUAACAACAACUUGAUAGCACGGAGGCCUCCGUGCUAUUGAUAGUAUUCCAGCCUAGUUCUAUAUAUAAAUAUAUAGAACUAGGCUGGAAUACUAUCAAUAGCACCAAUGACUUGGUGGUAUUAAGUUUUCUGCUCUUGGAUUAAAAGAUGUGUGGUUAGGAUGAUGUGGGCCCCCUAGGGUUGAGUGGGUGGUUAGUUGAAUAGUAUAAUCGAACGGAUGAAAAUAAUAAAAGAGAUAAAUCUAACAGCAGAAAAUAUGAUAAUACCAAAUGCUUCGUGCUAUCGAUAGUAUCCCAGCCGAACUCUAUAUAUAUAUAUAGAUUAUAUAUAUAUAUAGUCAAAAUCUAAUCUGGAUAGAGAUUGACUACUAAAGUAACUAAAUCCAAAUAAAUUUAUUUUAUUUAAUUAAGGCACUUCUUGCCUUCACACAAAAUUCAUCAGUUCAAUAUAUAUUAUAUAUAUAUUAGUAAUAUAAUAAUAAGAAGAUGAAGAAAAAGUAAUGCUACAUGUGUAGCACAUGCUAACUUUAUCCAUCAAGUCAAUUGUCAGAGAUUAAAAAGUCAUGCAUUCUCCAGUAAUUAAAUGAUGCCGUGUGAACAUGUCGACUAAAGAAAACAUACCUAUCAAAAAGAAUAGUAAAAUGUGUUACACAUUGAUAUAUGAACGUGAAAAAGUUAACAACAAUACAUGUAAACAGUAUAAUGGAUAAUGUGACCAUGCAUGUGUCUUAAUGAGUUACCAUACAUAAUGAUGAUAUUUUCAACAUUCAAUUAAUGAGUUAGCAUUCGCAACGUAACAAUUAAAUUAGUUUUAAUUUUUCUAAACUUAGUAACUUGUUGUAUUUGAAGUGGAAAGAGCUAACCGUACUUAAUGCCUUUUGAUUUUUUUUUUUUGUAAUUGAUGUAUCACGUUAAGAAUCUGAUGUUAAGUUUAUCGACAAAAAAUAUUAUAUUUUUUUGGAUAAGAAAUUUGGUGUCUGAAAUUAAGUCGUCUUCCAUCUGAAAAAGAAUAUUUACUAUUAAAAUAAAUUUUGUUCUGAAAAAUUUAACUAUCCAUCUUGUUAAAUGAUAAACUCUAAUUCGUGUUGACACUCAGUUUUUUUUUUUUCUUUUUAUUAAUGAAUUUGACAGUAGAUGAUAAAAUGGGGCAAUUUGACAUCUUUAUAAAGUAUAGGAGGUAACAUUUAUUGUGGCUAAGAUAUACAUUGUUUUAGACUACUUGAAUGAAUUAAUUAAAACUCUUUAUAUCUUAAAUGUGGAUUUAUUAAUAUAGUGUACGGUUUCGGUGUGUACUCAGUGCGUGGCUUAUUAAUCUCACGUACAACUACUAUUAAUUCUGAGUUAGAAUAUUAUUAGUACUUGAUUAGAUGUCAAUUAAUCCACUCAAGAGAUUCAGCUAAGAAUAGGAUAAGAUUUUCUGUAAUCUCCUUUACUAAUUCUGUUGUAGAGCAAUAAAAUAAGAGGGGCGAAGGCCGACCUUAACUGUAGGGAGGUGUCUAGUUAUUUUUUGCUUUUUGUGUGUGUACACGCGCGCGCAUGUGUGUAUCUCUUUCUCGUUGUUAUUGAACCGGGGGGAGAGGGGCGUGUGCUGGAGUGUGUGUGUGCGGAUGUGUGUCUUUCUCGUUCUUAUUGAGGCCAUAGCUGCCUCCAUAUUUUUAUAGCUAAAUUUAUUUUUUUAUUGAAUGAAGCAAAUAACAUGCUAUUCUUUCAAAAAAAAAGGAGAAUAAUAGUAAUAUUAUUUAUACAUUUUUAGACUAAGUAUAAGAUGUACAUCUGGCACAUCUGAAGAUGCUUUUUUUUUUUUUUUUUGUCGUCACNCUAUUAGUUUUCUAAAACUAAAAAAAAAAAAAAAUACAAACUUUAGAAUUAAAAAAUAUACAAUUUUACAUAUAUAUUAUGUUUUAUAAAAUAAUGUAAACUUUGUUCAUUUGAAUGUUACUUGCCAUGAUUUGCAACUUUAUCUAGCUAUCUAUUAUUAUAUGUAUACAUAAAGCAAAACGUGCCCUGAGCAGACACAAUUAUUAAGAAAUAAUUUAAUUUUUAUAUUGGGAUAGUUUCCUGCUGAGCUGUCUCAGUCGGAUGUGAACCGCUCAACAGUGUCCAACUCAAUAAUUGAAAGCCUACACUAGGGAAGACUGCCAAUUGAAUAAGUUUAUUUAAUCAGAGGAUUGAGUAACUUCUAGAACAUACAUGAGAUAGAGAGAGGUAUUUUUUUUUUUAUAAAUGAUACAACCAGUUUUUACGAUUGAAAAAAAAAAUAUUUAAAAAAUAAUUAUAAAAACAGAUCUUUAAUAUGUCAUAUUAAAUUUUUAAAAAGAAUAAAUAAUACGAGCGGUUGAAUGAAUUACCAUAUUUAAAUACGGCGAAUUAUUCAUCGAUUCAUAACUAUUCUUAAAAUCAACAAACUUAUUUAAAAGGUGGUGAACCGAACGUUUAUCCCUUUAUUAUUUUUCCCUUUCUCUUUCUCUCUUCCAUUCUUAUGUUUUUAAAAGCGGUGAAUCAUUUAUCGUUUUUAUAGGCCCGUAAAAAAUUUAACGAAUGCUGUGAACUAUUCACCGUUUUUACGUAUUUUAUUCUCUUCCCACCAUGCUGGCACCCACAUAACAAAACGGAGACUAUAUUUGCAAAUAAAUUUUUUUUCUUUUUUGAGGAAACAGGGGUAUACCCUAUUUGUACAAAGGCAAGAAGAUUACAAAAUUGCCGAGGCGAGAAGAUUACAAGGAGCAACAGGCCAAACAAGCUACAGGCCUAAAAGUAAACACACUUUACAGUAGAAAUGUAGAAAUGUUACUCUCAUACUUCAAUUCACUCCUCUCCCUCCCUCCCCUCCUCCAGUUAGCGCUAAUGUCCACAGAUUUAUCAAGCUAAGAACUCUAUUUGUCGUAUCGUCCAUUCGAGUAGGUCGGUUUUCGAAGAUGCGUCUGUUUCGUUCCUUCCAAAUUUUCAACAUGCUGCGGUAAAACAUAGGUCAAACCAUUUCUUACGCUUCCCUCCGACACUGCGCCUUGCUUGGUCCCAUCGGGUUGGUAGGUCACCUGGGCCAGUAGUUAUCAAAAUUCUGGCAGCUGGAGUUGUUUGUAGUAGUUGAUUCCACACCAUCGCUGCAUAACUGCAAGUGAAUAAAUGUGAUCCAAAUUUUCACUGUUUGUAGAGCAUAGUGCGCAAAUCGACGGACCGUGCCAUCCCUUUUUCACUAACGUGUCAUCCGUCAAAACUCUAUUUCUUGCCGCAAGCCAAAUGAAGAUGUUGACCCUAAGGGGGAUCUUGGUCUUCCAGAGUAGAGUUCUGCAAACAUUAGUUCCAUCAAAGGUAAGGAAAUGGUAGGCACGGCGAACCUGGAACCCCCCAUUGUCGUUCCAACGCCAGACGGUUGUGUCCAGGUUUUGAUCUAAGGCAGUGUUAAGGAUCAGGAAUCUGAGCCGCUGGAGCUCAUCAAGGCGGUCACCCUGAAUCCGUGAAGAGUGGAAGCCCAAAUUUUCAGUCCAAGCAAAGCGGCGUACCCAGUUGAAGACCGAGAGGUGUUUAUGUCGUGCGAUUGUAAAAAAGUUAGGGAAUUGACUCGUAAGAGUGAAUUCGCCGGCCCAUCUAGCAUUCCAAAAAGACGUACCUUUGCCGUUGCCUAACGAAAAGAAAAUGGAUGCAUGGAAGGGAGCAGUGGUGGUGAGGAUUCCUUUCCACAUCGGGCAGCACCUAGUCGACGCGUUGUCAUAGCUAGCCGAUUGCCUGUGCUUGUAGUGUUUUUGCUUCAGGAGUCUGACCCAAGGUAGGUGCGGCGAAUUGUAGAAACUCCAUAGGCCCUUCAUCAAUAGUGCCGAAUUCAUCGCUUGUAUCUUUCGGAUGCCCAGUCCGCCCAAUUCUUUUGGGCGGCAUACCUGAUCCCAAUUUACGAGGCAGUGGAAGCCGUUUAGUAAUUUUUUCCCUCUCUAGAAGAAAUCGCGCCGAUGGGUCUAAUUUUAGAAUAAAAUUUUUGAAGAAGUCUAGUAUACUGAAAUCUCCUAGAGAGAGCGAGAGAGAGAGAGAGAGAGAGAGCAAUACUUUUUUUUUUGAGAGAUAGAUAGCACGUUACCCGCUUCGUUUAUUUCAUUUAGAAAUAAACUCAGCUGGAAAUAUGAGUCAACUAGGAUUUGAACUUAGGUCUCGGGUACCAACCACCGAACCCUUUGCCACUUACUCUAGAAACGGUCGGUAAUAAAGAGCAAUACUAUUUACACAAUCAAUCAGAAGUAUAUAUCUCACUCAUCUAAUAGAGAAACUUUGUUUUACUUGUUACAUGAUGUGACAAAUUAAAAAAAUUCCAUCUAUAGAUGGAUGGGUGUAAAUUAUACACAUCAAAGUGUAAUGUAUGAGUCCUAAGAAGUAGUAGAUGGAUUGAUGGUGGUUUUUCCAGUAUUAUUAUUGAA
rnacentral:lncRNA from 1 species